rnacentral:lncRNA from 1 species
UUUUUUUUUUUAAGCUUAUGAUUUUGUCAAUUUUAUCAUACAAGUGGCAGUUAGAUUUUAAUAUAAUAUUUUAUGAACAACCCGAAUUACUUUUUUAUCUUUUUAUUUGUUAAUUUUUUGCAGGUAUCUUAUUUUUUUUCUCCCGAACACAGGCGUCAUUUUUUUUUUUUUCACUGUAGCCCGCCACAUAACACAGCCCACAAAUAUAGUAAAAACUGCUAUUUUCAGGGUCGGCCUCUACGCAGGAAGAGGGUUGGUCAAAGAAAACGGGUAACAAAACAAAUCAAUGCAGGAACAACAACAAUUCAUAAGUUACAAGCAGAGCACAAGGUCGGUCCACCAUAUCAUCCCCCAAUUCUCCUCAGAGGGUAGCAGCAAGUGAUCUUUUUAAUAUAGAAGGCAGAAACUGAUACAUUCCAGUCCCUGGGGUAUCAAACUAUGCAAAAUGCGGUAAAAGAAAGUGAAGUGAAUGCCAUUUCCAAUUGCCUCAGCUUUCUUUUAACUAUACAUAUUACAACUCCUCCUCUAGGUUACCUUUCCUGCUCCCUAAACCUUCUUAAUGUGACCCCAAGUGCGCACUAACCCAUACAAAACUAGAAUUUCCUUUUUACAAAAAAAAAAACUAUAAUAAACAAAACCCCAACCCCAAACACCUCUUUCUCUGGCAAUUCACAAAAGUCACCAUAUUCUAGCCAAAACAAAUUGGUGGUUUACGAGCUCUUAAGCCGCCCUCCUGACCAAGAAUAAGAACCGAGGUCAGGAAAACAAAAACCCAAUACUACCAUUUGCUGAUGUUUCCCCCCUGAUAGCCCGAGGCUUGUCCUUUUCAGUUGGUUUACCACCAAUGGAGAGUUGAGACUCAAUCCGUCAUAGGUCUGUGUGCUUGUCUGCUAUAUUGCAUAGGGGACAGACGAUUAUGCAUGCCCGUAGCUCUUAGGACCACAAUUUUAUAAAAUUCUUGACUGGCACAAUAAUCAAAGCAAGAACCUAAUCAAUCAAUUUCUCCCUCCUCAACAUCUUUCGUUAGAUCUGGAACACUAGAGGGUGGUUCAACUACUUCCUCUUCGUCUUCGUCAUCUUCCUUCAUGUAUAAUCCUAGUUGCUCUAGUGGGUUGCUACCCUGAAGCUUGAAACUACCCAGCCCAUUUUGAGAAUGAUCAGGGCUUGUUUCCUCUAUGAAACUUGGAAGCUGUUCAUCAUGAUGGGCAAUCCUAAGCAUUUCUAAGUCUUCCAUAAACUGACAGUUCUCAUUGAUAUCAACAGUCUUUUCCAUCUGCAGAGAACAAGAAAAUGUUUGGUCGUAUUCUAAAAGAAGCAUUGGAGCUGGUUUUGCAUGGAUGUAUUAGCCUUACCUGUAUCAAUGCCUGACGUGCAGCUUCCCUUUCCAGUUCCCUCUGCCUUUUGGCUUCGGCGGCAGCUUCAGCUUCAGCUUUCCUCCGAGCCUCUUCAGCAGCCUUAGCUUCUGCCUGUAACCGAGCUUUUUCUGAUAUCACAGAUUAAAAGAUAAAUCAUUGCUCCCGGAAAAUAACAUCACAUGACUCAAUUUAUUGUUGAGGGACUGCAAUUCCAAACCUUCCUUUUGCCUUCUUUCAAAUUCCUCCUUCUCCUUCCGCAAUUUCUCAGGAUCACGCUUUUCACCCUGAAUUCCAUAUCACGGAGUGAAUGGUACACGCCCAUAAACAAAACAGAAGCAUGUACAAUUAUACCAAUUAAUAGCAUGAAAGUUUAUGAAAGGCCAACCUUUUCAAGCGCCUUUUCUCGAGCUUUAAGUAUGGUGUCAGCAAAACGGUUCCUCAACAAAGCUGCACGAUAGAGCUUUUCAGGAGAGACUUGCCUCUCAGGUGGAGCACUCUCCCCUAUAACAUUACAGCAUGAUGAGUGAGAUGAAGUCCCACAUGUAACAGCAAUCUUCUUAAUGAGUAUGCUUACCCUCUUGGUGGCCAUCUGCCUCGGCUGCAACUGGCUUACCCUCAGUAUCCAGCUCAACUUGGGCCAGCCCAUCAACAGAUUCUGAACAAAGCAUGGCAAGCAGGAUUUCAGAUUAAAUUUGGCCAAAACAAACUGUAAGAACCCUAUAGAAUGCAUAAUAUGAAAUAAAACCUAAAAACUCACGAUUUCUGACAGCUGGAUCACCAAGAUGACUUCUCUUUUGGACUACAUUUUCUCCAGGUUCCAUUUUUUCCUAUAAUUAGAAGAAACAUAAGAUAAAAAUCAAUGUUACAUCUAAAAGAAAAGGCACAACACUUAAAUUCAUACAAUUUUCUGACUUGAGCUGAUCAAUUUAUGCAUGCAUACCUCAGUAGCAUUAAUGGGACCAGACGCUUUAACUGCAUCAGAUUCACUACCAGAUUCACUGCCAGAAUCUGAAUCUGAAAAAAGAAUCACAUGAGUAAAAAGAGAUCAUUAAACUAACUACGAAGGCGCUCAAUUUACAUAUAUAACCUUUUUCAUCUAUAGAAUUUAGAAGGAAAAAAGACCAGCAGCCAUGGAAUUUAAAAGGAAAAAAAGAGAGAGAAGGAAAUUAACCACCACCAAAUUAGCAAUUACUAGGGGGCAAAGUUAGCCAAACCACACAUUCUUAUGGUUAUUAUACACGAACUUUGUAAAUAAAUAACAUCAUCAAGGCAACACACUAAUUCCAAAGCCAAAACAGAGCACAAACCAAACAGAGAACUUCCGAUUUCCUAUUCUAGCCAUGGGGCAGAACCUAUGACUUGAGUUAAAUAAUUGGGAGAGGAACUAUGUGGGGCACAUGUCCCACUCUCAUCUCUCAUAUCAAUUAGCUAUUCAAGGCAUGGAAAAUAAAUGAAAGAUAGGUUUUAAGGCUCUUACUUCCACGCCCAAAUCGAUAAAAUCUUAGAAACUGAAUGUGAAUAUAAAAUCAUGAGAAAAAGGUUUCUUUGCUCAACUUCUGAUUUAUUGUGUCAAAAAACCCAUCAUGUUAUGACAUUCACAUGUCAUGGACAGAGAAUGACAUGUUGUAGGAUGCUACUCAACCAUGACAACAACUGGGUGAAAAGAUAUUUAUUCCAAUCACUUGAUGCAUAACCCACAACAGUUCUAAGCUAAAAGGACAUCCUUUGCAUUCAUCUUCACGUCUUGAUGACAAAAACACCUGCAAUGGCCCUUUCCUGAUCAUAACAUUCAGGAAAAUCAAAAUCCAUCAGAAUAACUGAGCACUGGGCUCUAAGCAAAGUCCAACGAGCCCGCACUUCUCCGGUGUGAAUUUCAGGAAGAUUUGAUGAUUCUUUUGUCCUGAUCUAUUUUUGUAUUCUUUGUCAUGUAUGAUGUCUUAUUCCCCAAUGUGAUUUAUCUUCACUUCUAUGAAUUAACAACUUUUUCUGUUAUAAGCAAAACACUGAGUAGUAAUUUACCAGCUACAAAUUAUAAACUCGCACCUAGCCCAUUGCAUUGAACUGUUUGAACAAUGGUUCUUAACAGAGCAACUGUCCAACAACCUAUAUCAUAAACAUGAAGGGCAAAUGCCAGCAUGCAUGCACAUAUGAUAUUGCACAUAAAUUUGGCCAAUAAAAAUGAUCAUGAAUUGGGAAAAACCAUGCCUUUGUAUGUUUUGAUGGCACUACAGUACAUGGCAACCUUUUUCCACUCUUAAAUCACGUCAAAAAAGAACAGCACUUGUUAGAUUCAAAUAUCCAUAGUGUUUCAAUACUAUGCUCCACUACAUAUCCAUGCCAAAGUGUAGUACAGAUCAGACUUGCAUCUUUUACUUUCAGAGAAACAUUGAACACGUAUACCUAAUGCCAUAGCCGGACUGAACUCAAGGGUCAGAUAUAAGUUCGAGACAAAAAAAUAUAACUCAAUACCAACAAUAAAAGCAAGCCUUCUAGAACACAUUUACUCUAAACAGCUGAAGGCAGAUCUUGGCUGAAAACAGGGAAGAAAAUCAUUCUCCACAGCAUCUUUGCAUCCACCAAAAAGCAAGUGGAAGUAAUGCGAGUUUUAAUUGGCAUGAUAUUCUAAGAAGCUAUUGACAGGACACAAGGUGACAUGAAAUCUUAUAGCUGCCUUCAAAUAUCUCACUAUCCAGGAAUAUGCUGUGAGACAUCUGUUGUAACUUGAUGAGUUACCAAAUAUGCUAUACAACUCUUGAGUGGUUUGGCUAACAGAAAGGAACCAGAAUCAAAUUACACCUUCAGAAAAAAAUCAGAGUGGAAUUAAGUAAUCAAACAAGGUGCAAUGGCAGCAUGACAUCCAAACAGAACUCCAUCAAAGUUCACAAACGUGUGCCUUUUAAAGUUACACCAGAAGUCCACAUUCGUAUCAAACAAGGUCCAAUGGCAGCAUGGCAUCCAAACAGAACUCCGUCAAAGUUCACAAAGGUUUGCAUUUUAAAAUUACACCAGAAGUCCACAUUCAGCAUAUGGAAAAACAUCUUAAUGUGUGUUUCUAAAUUUUGAAUAACUAAUGUCUAUAAUUAAUUUCUUCAUAUAAAUCUAGAAAUCAAGUAUGCAUAAACAGCAAAAUUGCUUCUGAGUACUCCAAAUAUUGGAAAAAUAUAUAUAUAAACAAAUCCCCAAAGAAAAGGAAGUGACGAUGAAAAGGUUUACAAAACACUUACCACUUGAAGAUGAGCCCGAUUCACUAUUGGAGCUACUUCGACUGCUACAUUUACUGUUUUUAUGAGCCGCCUCUUUUUCUAUCUUUACUGGAGGGUAGCUUGAAAUAGGAGGAUCAUUCCCACCAACAAUAUCUAUAUCUUCUUCAGCGGUAUCAUUGCCUAAUAAACAUGAUGUAUAAGUAUUCAACUGGCAACAAAAUUACCAUGCAUAAUGCAGUGAAAAUGCACAAAAUUAGAGUAAAAGAAAGUACCUUUGCAUGGUUGCAAUGAUGAAUUGCUAAUCCCUGACUCGUUAAUAAUCUGAAUCAAUAAAAGCCACUGCUCAUCAGACUUCUAUUCAACAUUUCCAGGAUAAAGAACACAUCACAACAAAUGCAAACAAACAUGAGAGAAAUCGGGGUACCUCCAUUUCACAUGGUUCAACUUUUGAUUGGUUUUUCUGUUUCUCCAGUAAAUAGUUAUCUAAGAGUUUCCGUAAGUUGAACAAUAUAUCAUCACCGAGAGCAUCAAUAUCAAUCUCAAUCUCAUCCUCGCCAGUCUGGCCAGCAUUUCCACUAUGCUCUUUUAGGAAUUCAAUAAUGUUUUCAGGCAAUUCAGCGAGCAAUGCCUCCAACUCCAUGCUCAACUUCUGUCUCUCCUCAUUGGUCAUGACUUUCCUGAUGGGCCCUGGUUUGACCUUAUUGUCACUCGGUGUAAUUUUUUUCUUUUUCAAAGGUGGAGUAUCAGUAGUGGUUUCCUUUUCUAUAUGAGCAGUUGUUUCCAUUUCCAUACGCACAUCAGCUCUUGAUGGCACUGGUUCUACAUCAGCGGUAACAGGAAUCUUCUUCUCAAUAACUUUCCAUCUAACUUCAAAGAAUUUACUAAGGGUCUCGGCCAUGAAAUGGAAAUCAUUUCCAGGGGGGUUAUACUUCAUUGCAUUUGCGAAAGUAAGUCGCACAUCUGCAGCAAAUCCCAAUGGACUUGAAUAUUCACCAGAAAUAAUCCUGCUCUUCACUGUACCCAAAUCCAUUGGGUGUUUAAUGAUAGUGAAGUAGUCUGGUAUGUUCAUUUUCACCACAUCAACAGGAGUAUUGAAAAUCCAACCAAACUGAUGUGUCAUCAAACGAUUUAGUAAUGUUUCACACUGUUUCAUCAACAUAGCAUUAGUUAUACCAAGUGGAGCAGCUGACUUCACUGGCUCAAAACGCCCUGAUGUACCCUUUUUUGAUCGAGCCCCAUUUCGACCUGGAGGAGCCCGUUUCUUACUCUUGGGAGCUGAUACUUCAAAUGACCUGUGGACACCUUCUAGAGGAAGCCUCUUUUGGCCAUCACUGCAACUCCGAGUAUCACUAGAGGGCGAUAACAGAACUGUAUUUGAACUCAAAGAAGCCACUUUCCUAUGGAGGAUUCUGACUUGUUCAAGGUCAUUUUUCAACCUAAUUUCCAAAUCCUUCCUCUCCGGUCUUGACAUCUUAGACAAUGACAGGAUUUGUGAUGGUACACCAAAUGUAUCAUACCCGUCCACAUUCAAACUAAUGCACUUCCUCUUGGGAGCAAAGGAAUCUCCUGAUGCUGUCAUCUCGGUGUCAACACGUCCAGAGCUCCCAAACCCUUCUGAUUCAGCCAUGGUCUCAGCAGCAUGCCGGUAAUCUGGAACAAAUCCAGAGGAGUGCCCUUUAGAGAACUUCCUUGAUUUCCCCAUUGGUUGUGAAAGCCAACACGUUUUCAAUUCCUUCUGUCCAAUAAACUCUAUAGGAACAGUAGGUGCCAUAAGAUAAACUUCCAAUAACUGCACAUAUCAUCAACUUCAACUAUUUAACUUCUUAUUUUCCCUCUUCAAUUUUACCAUACACGUUUAUUCAAAAUUCUUUAAACUUCAACGAAUCCAGUUUAAUAAAUAAAUAAAUAAAUAUUUACUCUUGUUAAUUUCCUUUUCUCGCAAAAGUUUCAGAACUUCCACUACGAUAGUUCUCCUUCAUCUGUGAGCAGCAAUAUCAGAUCAUCAUAAGAUUAUAUACCAAUUGCAUGUCUUUAAACCCAAAUUCAUCUGAAGCAAAUCUUGAAUAAACGAUCUCUAAACCAACACUGAUCUGAUUCAUUUAUAGGAAAAAAACACUAAAACCCCUCUCUCUCUAUCGCUCCGAAAUUCAAACAAAAAGUGAAUUUUCAGAUAUUAAAAAGCUUUAUUUGUUUAACAAAACAAAAUACGUACUCAAAAGAACCCUAACAACCUCCUUUGAGCAAAAAACCCCUCAAGAAUCGGAAACCCUAGAUAGAUCGAAAUCGAAGCUAGAAAUAAACCAACCGACACGAACACAAUGCGACUGAAUACAAAACAUAAACCCUAGAGAGAGAGAGUAAUCAAGGCUUAUUAAUCAAACCACUCAAAACCUGGAUCUCCCGCUUUCGCCUUUGAUUCCAACAAACCCUAGAGAGAGAAAAUCAUUUCUCUUCGCGAUUAAGAGAUAGAGAGCGAGAGGAGAGAGGAGAGAGAGCUUGAAUAAGUGUGUGAUAUUUCUUGGGCUAGUUUGGUCCUCUUUUUAAAGGCCCAGUUCAGCCUUAUUUGUCAGCCGCUGUUAAAACAAUCCUCACCGUUUAGUUAUUCACUGGGUUAGAUCUGAUGGCUAAAGGCUAAUGAUUUCUUAUACCACCGUCAAGUUCGGGAUCUAACGGCUCUGAUUUACUCCCUGCCAUUCUGCGUAGAUCGUGUUGGAUUUUUUACAAAUAGAGCUUCUAGACUCUACUUUAUCAAGAUUAAUAACAAAACACGCGCUCCGCAUAAUUCAAUGAUAUAUUCGCAGUAUUGUGUUAAUACGUGUAAGUUUGCUAAGAAAUUUACACGUGUAAUUUUUUAGUGGGAGCGUGUAAGUAAUUUUGAGGUGGGGAGGGUGGUUGAUGUGUAAGAGAGAAAAAUCAUCAGGGUUGGUGAACACGUAUUUUUAUUGACACUAGAUUUGCUAUUUAGGAUUCUCAAAGAUUAUAAAAACAAAAAUCUAAUAAGACCCAACAAACAAAAUAAGUUAAGUUUAUUUAAAUCACAUGGAAAAAAAAGUCAAUGAAAGCAAACGGGAAAAUAUAUAUAUAUAUAUAACUGAUAAAUGAGGAUUAAAAUUGAAAAACAAAUAAUGUAUUAUUAACUUGGAUUUAAAGGUAAAAUUAAAAAAAAAUAUAUAGAUUUAAGAAAAAAAAUUAUAAGAAUAAUGAUCAAAAUGAAAACAUCAUCGCAUGAUUAAAAAAACAUAAACAUAUAGAAUUUUUUAAUGUAUUUUUUAGAUUAAAAAAUAUUAAUAUAAAUUGAAAAAACUAUACACACAUUCAAUUAAAUAAAUCACGAAAUUUUGUGUAAAUAAAUGGAAAGAAGUAAUUAACGGUAAAAAAAAAUAAGUGAAAAAAUUAAGAUACCAAUGUAAAUCAAUAUAUUUAAUAUCUCAACACGGAUCAUUUACCAGGUAAUGUUUAAUGAAUUUAUUUAUGAAAAUUAAUUUGUAAUAGUGAUUGACACACGUAAAAUUUAUUGAAUAAGAUAAAAGAAAAAAAAUUAUCCAAGGUUAUACAUAUUAAAAAUAUUAUGAAAAAUAAAUAUUUAAUCUAUAUAAUAUAUACACACAUAUAUAUAAAAAUUAAACAUGAAUCAUACUAAACCCAAAAAAAAUUAAACACACUGAUUAUAAUUAAAAAAUAAUUGUUAUUUAAUAAAGGAUAAAAAACCCAAAAAAUCAUAGAGAAAGUUUAUUAAUUAGGACAUAAAUUUAAAAUUUAUUUAAAAAAACACACACACAAAAGGCUAUAAGUAUAAAAACAAAUUGAAAAAAAAUAAGAUUAGGCACUAUUGGGCAUGGCUAGCGCCUAGCCCAAUAAAGAAAAGUCCCGCCAGCAGAUAAUUUAUUUUUUAAAAAGAAAAGUUUAAUGAGAUGGACGAUGCAUCAUCUAUCCCAGUUGGUUGCAUCAAAAAAUAAACAACGUGUCGUUUAUUAAUCCUGAAAUUCAGCCACUGAUCAAGUUGGAUAAACGAUGUUUUUGUUUUUACUUAAAAACUCAUUUUCAAUCCAUGUUUGACCCAAAAAAUCUAAGAAACACCAUAGGAACCUUGUUAAACCAAUUAAUGACCUCUAGAAACGCAAAAAAUCGGUCCGAAACCCAAAAUCAACCCAGAAUCAUAAAUCAUUUUGAGUUUAGAUAUGUUUUUUAGGUGUCAUGAAGGUAAAAAAAAAAAAUUUAACAGGGAUCUCCUUAUCAUAUAAAACUAUUUGAUACAAAAUCAACAGUUUUAUACCAAAAAAUCAUUUUUUAAAAUUAUAAGAAUCGGUCACCUAAUAACUUUAAAAAAUAAAGGUGAAAAUGAAUUUUCAAAGAUAAAUCUAAAAAAAUUCCUAUUUUACAUAUAUUUUUCACUGUGUUCCCAUGCCUUUCAAUUAAAUCCUCACAACCAAUCAAAACAAGCAAUUAAGUUUUAAUUUGGAUUAAAAAAGCUUAAUUGUAUAAAAUAUAAGAUCAGAUAUCAGAUUGAUCUUUUUUAAAAAAUUCGCAUAACUGGAGUCCAAGGUGAAACUUGAGAGAAUGAACAGUAACAAUAUCUAUGGUAAAAAAACCGCACGCUUUAUAUGAUUUUAUAAUUGUACCACCAGGUGACGCGGCAGGUGUGAGCUAUUGUUGUGCUCCUCCCACGUGCUCGAUUUUGUAUGAUUCUGAGCUUGUUUAGCUUCGGACAAAUCUUUUUGACCCUUUGACUUUGUCACUCUCACUUUUUUACUGUGGUGGAAUUUGUUUUUUGCCAGUAAGUGAGUGUCUACUGACAUUAAACUCCAAACUUUACAAAGAUCGAGUUCUGAAAACCUAGAUACGAGUUGCCUUAUAAGACCCGCUUGACCUGGUUAAAACGACAUCAUUAAUUAUAUAGGCGUAAGUGUCUCUUUGUGUUUAUGUAGUGGGUGGGGACCCGGAUUAUGCUGCGAGACCAGACUAGUUUUUGUGAGUAUGAAAUUAAGUAUGGUCAUCGCAGAUAAAAAAAUGAAGAAAAUUUGUGAUUCGAGUAAGUGAUCAAGUUAUGUAAUUUUAUUUUAUUUUAAUUAGAUAAUAAAACAAUGGCAAUGAUGGCAGAUGAAUUAAAUUUAAAAAAUAAUAACAAUAACUUGAAAAAAAAAUAUAUUUUUUUUAAAUAAUAUAGCUCAAUUAUGAGCCUAUUAUAAAAGAACGAGAUUGGAUAAAAAUGAUCUAAAAAUUAGUUUAGGUCAACUCGAGUUAGCAUAAUGAACAUGUAACCUCGACAAUCAGAGUUGAGUCAACCUGGAUUAUCCCGCUAAAUCGACGACCCGCGUCAUGAGAUUGGAUAACCUGUUAAAAAAAAAACAAUGUUGAAUGAUGAAAGCAGAAAAUAAAAUGGAUGGAAAAAAUUAAAUGAUGUCAACACACGUUAACUUUUCAAACUCAUGACUUUAGUCAUUAGACUAUAAAUACCUGAUAUGGAAAAAUCAUGAAAAUCAAUUCUCAAUCAAUCAAAUAUUAAAUGAUAAAAUUAAAAAAAAAAUUAAUAUACAAAAGGAUUCAAAACAUGAAAUGGUAAAUGAAAGAAUGGGGAUCAAAAUUAAAACAAUUUUUUUUAUUGAAGGUGAAAUUGAAAAGAAAAAAAAAAACAAAGGACCUAAAAAAAUUAAAAUAACCAAAAGAAUGAGGAUUAAAAUUAAAAUUAAAAUGAAAUUUUUUUUUUAUUAAAUGGCUUAAUUGAAAGAAAAAUCAAUUUACCGAAAUGAACCAAAAAAAUAAGAAUCAAAUUGAAAAAAAUCACAUAUCCCAAUUGAAGGAUAAAAUUGAAAACAAAUAAAAAAUUUACAAAAAAGUAUUAGGGACCAAAGAGGAAAUUCCCAUAAAUCAAAAGACAACUAUGAAAAUUUGCAUGGCCAACACGAGUUUUGAGAUGAGGAGAGAAAAGAUGGCAUCGCUGGCAAUAAACCGUGUUACCGUUGACAUCACGCGCCACUCUAGGAGAAAAAAAACACCACGGCGCUUUCAAAAACACAACGGGAUAGGGAUAUUUUUUGCUUGGAGACAUCGCACGCAUCACCUAAAUGGCAUAGGCGCCUCCCACAAUUUGCAAUGUGCAUUGCAUUCACCAAUAACUUUGAUAUUUGACUAUAUAUAUAUAUAUAUACACUCUGACAUGAUAAUUAAAGAAUAACCUUCAUGAAAAAUAUAAAAAAACCCCUUGACACAAUUUCAAUAUUGUUUUUGCUUUUAAAAGCAUAUUGGUCGUUUCACCGUACUUUUAUUUUUUUUUAUUUUUUAUAUUUAUUUAGAUACCAAAUUAUUCCUCAAUUGACUUGAUAAUAACAAAAAUAUCAUUCUAAGAAUAUUAAAAUAGCUGCCGAUUUUAAUUUUUUUACUUUCAAAAGUACAUUUCUCUUUUCACUUUACUUUUGAAAUGAAAAAAAUAUUUAUUUGUAAAAAAAUAUCAAUUCCUCUAACAAACUGUCUAAACCUUGGGAUAGAUCAUGAACACCUUUACGUUAAAAGAAGGGUUUAUUAAAAAGAAAUGGAAGUUUUUUAGCACCAAAAGAAAAUAUAAUAGACAACAAUGAAGUUGUGAUCUCUAGAAAUUGUAUGAUUCGCAUGCCCUUUAGAUUUCAACUAAAUUGCAUGCUUGUAAUAUGCUGCGAGGGGACAAAGUUGUAAAAGAAAAUUUAUGCAAGUCUCAGAGAAUUGUUUAUUAUUGUUACUAAACAUGAAAAUAAAGUUGUUUGAAUUUAUUUUUUUCCCCUUCUUGAUUUGAUCAUUUUGAAGCUAAAUUCCACAAGAUAAAGUUUUUCAUUGAAUUAGAAAGAUAAAUUUAAAGUGAGAGGAAAACAAUAUAUAUAUAUAUAUAUAUAUAUAUAUAUAUAUAUAAUGCAUAGCCAAUUUUAAAGUUUUUAGAUUUUUCAUAUUGAUUUAAAAGUUUAUAUUACUAAACAUGAAAAUAAGUUUUGGUUUUUCUCUCCAUUUAAUUUUAAAAUUUUUGAUAAAAAUAAUUAAUUUAAAAUGUUGUAAAAAAAUAAUUUAUCAAAAUUUUGGAUUAAUUAAAAAUAUAUUUUAGAUAUUGUUUGACUAAAUGCCAUUUGAAUUUUACUUUGAUUUUUUUUUAUAAUAAGAGCACAACAAUCUUUUUAUAGUAUUAGAAGUUUUUUUUAGGGACCAUCAUUGUUUUUUAAAAAAUUUAUGCAGUCCUUGCUACUUUUUAGUAAUAAUAGUAUAUGUUUUUAUUAUUAUAUAAUUAAAUAAUAUUGUUUUAGAAAAAUAAUAUUAUUAAACCAAAUCGGUCCAUAACUCAAAACAGAAGGCCAAAAAGGGUUUAAUUGAAAAAAAUAUAAAAUUAAUAGAUAAAAUUUUAAAAAGAAAAAAAACCUCCAACUUAGUACAUUAAUCUUGAAAUAUCUGGAUCUAAUUUCAAUUUAAAAUUAAAUUGUUUAUAACGUUUAGAAAUUAUCUCGAUUUUAUUUAAUCGACUUGACAGAAAAAAGUGUGAUUUGGGCUAUAUAAAAAAUUCAACAUGACUUUCUUUAAAUAUUAAAAUCCUUAGUCGAGUCAAUCCAGAGCUAGUGCGUGUUUGACAGUGUGGUUGCGGGUGCUUUUCAAAUAGCUUUUCAUGCCGAAAUACAUGCCAAUGAUGUUUUUUUAUUUUUUAAAAAUCAUUUUUGACAUCAGCACAUUAAAACGAUCCAAAAAGUACAAACCGCACUCAAUUUUAGCAAAAAAAAAAUUCAAAAUUUAAUAAAACGUAGUUACAAAUGCAAUGCCAAACGGAUACUUGGAUAGACCAUGAUACUCGGAGCAAGGUAUCCGACCGUGGGCUACUUGCUCCAAUGACAUUAGAAGUAGACCAUCAGCUGGAUUUUAAUGGACCAAAGGCCCAGCCCAUAAAUCGUCAGAGCUGCUGUUUCAUAAGAAGCCCACGCGAAUCAAUCCCGGUAAGCGUCCACAAACUGCCCGCUCAUGGAGCUCUUCAGAGUUCAGAUUUAAAAAACCUAAGUACAUUUGAAAAAUGUAUUAAGUACUUGUCAGGCAUGGGCCAGGCCGACCAACAUGUUUGGUUGGAUUCACAAACAUCACAUCUGUAGUCCAGCCAUAUCAAGGAUGUCUCCAUUAUUAGCUCCUUCACUGUUCAUGUGAGCUGGCUUCCAUCUUUUUUUUUAAAAAAAAAUUUAUCUUUCAUUCUUAUCUUUUAAUAUUUCAUUAAUUUAAAUUUAAAUUUCAUAAUUUAUUUAAUUUAUAAUGUUAUUAUAAUCUCAAACAGAUACUCUCAACAUUUAAUUGAUUAUCAAUUUUAUAAGCAUAUAUUUUUAUUGUCAUAUCAUUAAGUAGGAAAUAAUUUUAAAAAAUUGUUAAACAUAAUGAUGUCCAUGAUUUAACUCGUGGGUUAAACCGUGAAAUCUGAGUUGAUCUAAUGUGUUGUCGUUUUAAUAUUAAAAAAAUGAUAUCAUCUUGAAUUUCUUUUUAAAAAAUACAAACAAUGUUUUUUAUUAGUCGUCCAUGUUGUCUUCAGGUUUUUCAAGUUAAUUAGGUCACGUUGGAGUAACAAUCAUAAGGGUUAAUUUUAAAUCCAUGUUAAGCAAGGAUUCGGGUCUAGAGGUUUGAAGAUUAGCCUGUUGAGUUGAGCCCUUUUUUUUUCCUUUUCUUUUGUAAAAGAAUUCCAUCUUCCAAUUCUUUUUCAUUUUUUUUUAAUUUUAUCCUUCAAUAUUUGGUUGUUUUUGAAUUGAUCUUCAUAAUUUAUUUUAAUUUCUUUCCACAAGGUUAUCAUAAUCUCAAUUAAACAUCUUGGUAUUUGAUUGAUACUCAAUUUUACGAAUAUUUAUUUUUGUUAAUAUAUUAUUAAGUAAAAAAUAGUUUUAAAAACAAAGAUGUUAAAUCUAAUGGAGUCCAUAAUUUAAUUCACAAGUUUAACGGGUUAAACUCUGAAACUCAAAUUGAUCUAAUAUAUAUCUACUCAAUUUUAGAAAAAAAAAUAUUAUCUUGAAAUUUUUUUAAAAAGUCAAACAACGUUUUUUAUAGAUCAUCAUAAUUGCUUUUGGAGCUAUUAAAUUAAUUAUAUCAUGUCAAGACAAGUUCCAUGCGGGUUAUUUUGAAACCCGGUUAGAUGCAUGAGUAAGUGUAUGUUUAAUAUUAUGUUGCAAUAUACUUUUUAGAAGUACUUUUCAUUUAAAUAGAUGUUAAAAUAUUUUUUUUUUCAAUUUUUUAUUUUAAAAUUCACAUAUCAAAAUUAUAUAAAAAAACAUUAAAUAAAUAUAAAUUUAAUAUUUUUUCAACUCACACAUAAAUAAUUUCAACAUAAAAACAAAAACUAUGUGGUCGUGUCACCAAUCCAAAAGCAAUCAUUCUGCAAAAUGUUCUUCGUAUGCCUGAGUAUAACGUCAUCCUGGCCGUCAAUAUCCAUGAGUCACAUUUAAAAUUGCGUGAUGCUCUAGUUAAAUCUAUACCAUCAUUGUCAGUACCACUUCUUAAGCUUGCUCAAGUUUAAUUCCAAAACGAUCAAACUUCAGAGGGAAAAAAAACCAAUGUUACUGCCCUGCGUGCAUAGAUUGCUUCAGGAGAGACAGCUUGCAGAAGACAGAGACAGUUGUACCGUAGACACUACUGACUACGGCUCUUCGUCUCGGUAUUCUCUUUGGUUUUGCGAUUUAGUUAUAUUUUAAAAAAAAGUUAUAUAUUUUUUUUAUUUUAAAUUAAUUUUUUUUUAUAUUUUUAAAUUAUUUUCAUGAGCUAUACCAUAAAAAAAUUCAAUUUGAUGUGUUUUUUAGCAGAAAUAUUUUUUAAAACUACAAGAGAAUUGACCUAAUAUGAUUUGACCGACUUGGCAAAUUUAAAACAAACUAAAUAAUUGAUAUAUAAUAUAGUUUGACUAGUAAAAAAUAAUCAAGAUGACAAAUUUAUUUAAAUAUUAAAACAAAAAAAUUAUUAUAUCGACUCGGAUUAACUCGAUGAACCUGUCAAAGCUGCUACUCAGGUCAUGAAACCCUGAUAACUUAAAAAAAACAAAUAAAAAAAUUAUUAAAUCUAAUUCUCAAUCAACCCAAUACUAAAGAAUGUAAUUCAAAACAAAAUAUAAAACUCAGUUGUCAAUUAACCCAAUGUUGAAUAAUGAAAUUAAAAAAAUGACAUAAAAAUCAAACAAGUCAACUAACAAAAUUCGUUAUUUGGGUCGUGAAACCGAGAUAAUCUCAUAUAAUGCAAACAAAAAAAAUAUGAAGCACAAUUCCUAAUUGGUCUAAAAUUGAAUAAUAAAAUUGAAAAAAACACCAACAAAAAAAGAAUAAAAAAACUCAAGUCAACCGGUCUAACUUGCGACCUGAGUCAUAAAAUCUUGAUAACCCCAUAUAAAGCAAAAAAAAAAAAUUAUUACGAAGCCCGAUUCUCAAUUCAUUCAAUGUUGAAUGAUUAAAUCGAGAAAAAAAAUAGAAAAUGACAAUAAAAUGACAUGAGUCAACAUUGGUUAACAUAUCAAACUUAGGUUAGGAAACCAAGUAACUCCAUAAAAAGCAAAUAAAAAAAUAAAAAAAUUCAAUUUUCAAUUAACCCAAUAUUGAAGGAUAAAAUUGAAUCUAGUCAAUCUAGUUAACCCGUAAAACUCGCGACUUGGAUAAUGAGACCGUGAUAGCCCCAUAGAAAGCAAGUCAAAAAACAACUAUGAAGCCAAAUUCCUGAUCAACCCUAUAUUGAAUGAUGAAUUUAAGAAAAUAAUUAAUUUUAAAAAAGAUAAAAAACUUAACCCGAGUCAACAUUAUUAACCCACAUAACUAAUGAUCAGGGUCAUGAGAUUGAAAUAACAUCAUAGAAAACAAAUGAAAACAAGUUAUGAAAUUCAAUACCCAGUAAACCGAAUGGUGGAGGAUGAAACUAAAAAAAAACUAAGUUUUAAAACUAAAAAAAUAAUUAAAAAAAUGCCCUAAAAAAAUUUGAGGAGCAAAAUGUAAAAGACUUUUUAUUAGAUGUUAAUUAGGUACGCAUCCUAUUCUACGCUGCGAGCUACACUUAAAAAUUCUUUUUUAUUACAAAAAAUUAAAGUUAUGAAAAAAAAUUUGGUGCUCAAUUACUCAUUAUUAUAAUCUUCCGACUUAUCUCCAUACUUAUUUAUAAAUCAAAUCAAAUAAAAUAUCAUAAAACUAAAAAAAAUGUAAGCUUAGAAAAAUAAAACAAAUGAGUAAACUUGGAUGAAAUUUCUAAAUAUAGAUCAAUCCUCCAAGCUCGUAACUCAUGAAAUUUUAAACCUGAACUCCAUUAAGAAUUUAAAUUCCAAACCAAUUUAAUAUUGAAUGAUAAAAUCUGUAAAAAAAAAUAUCAAUUUAAAAAAUCACCAAAGUAAAAAAAAAUAACAAUUAAAAGAAUGAAAAUCAAAUUUUAUAGUAAAAAAAACUGAAGGGGGAUUAAAUCACAAAAAAAAUUCAUUUAUAAAAAAUAAUUAAAAUAAAAUAAAUUGCAAUCAAAAGAAUAAUGAUCAAAUUCGAUAAAUAAAAUUUUUUUAAGAGAGGAUGAAAUUAAAAAGAUAAUCAAUUUUAUAAGUUAUUAUAAAUAAAACAAAUAAUAAUCAAGAGAAUAAUGACUAAAUCUAAAGGUAAAACAAAUUGAAUGGCUGCUUUUAGAACUUGAAGUGCAAGCGUGAAAAUUAAGGGGGAGAGAUUAAAUAAGAUGAGAGAAAAGAAAAGGUAACUGAUGUCAAAUUGAAGUUCCAUUGACCACACGUGCUGUCUAAGAAUGAAGGGGUCAUCAAAAAGAUUUGAACAUCGCCUUUUAAAGGGGCGUGUGAUUGUCGGGCAACCCUGGUCGCGCCAUUCGAAUAGCGCGACACCCACCACGCGUUGAGACGUGCAAUGCACUUGCUAAUUAGUUUUUUUAAAAUAUUAUUUAUAUCUAUAUAACCUGAAUGAAAAAUAUAAAAAUGCUUUUGGGUAUCUAAUUCAUUUUACCGUGCUUGAAAUAUUAAGAAUAUAUAAAACACCCUUGAACAUCAGUCUUAAAUGUUCUGAUUUCAAGGAUAAUAUAAUUAUUUUACCGUGCAUCAUUAAUGUGAAAAGACCAGUUUAUCCCUCAUCAAUACAGUAAUGAGCAAUAGAUCCUUAUGAAAAAGAACAUAUUACUCAAAUAAUAAGUUAUUUGGUUUAUAUUAAAAAAGAGUAAAAUAAUCAUUUUGGUAUAGAUUAUUAUAAUAGUUUCCCACAUCAUUUAGAUUUUCUUAUAAUCAUUUAGAUGUUCUUAUAAUUUGAUAUUAUGGUGGAUAUUAUUAUUUUUUAAAAAAAAUAUCAUUUAAUUAACCAAAUAGCUUUUGUCUUUUACAAAACUAGGUUUUGUACAAACUACAUAGCCUAUUUUUAUUAAUAGAAACUUAUUUUUUAUUUAUUUUACAUUCAAAAAUCUAUCUUAGAACAAUUUAAAUGUAUAAAUUUUUUAAAAUCACAACCACAAUUACUUUUCUUAAACUUAAAUUAACCUUUUAAAAUCACAACGGCAAAAACCACUCAAUACCAGCACAUUAAAGGAUAAAUUCCAAAUUUUCAAAUUAUUCCCCCGGGUGGACGUGGAGCCCUGUAUCCCAGCUCAUGUCCUCACCCUUGUCUCCAAGCAUCAUCUUUUUUCUUCUUUCCGCCCUGUACGAACAUCCCCACUCUCUCUCUCUCUCCUCUUGAAAAAGACCACGCCACCCUGGCAUCCUCCACCGUCAUCAUCUCUCUCUCUCUAGCUUACUUUUUUACGUCCAAACAAUCUCCUAUCAUACACAUGUUAAACAAACGUACGGGAAACCCAAUCAAAAGCCGUGCAAGCACCGCCUCAAACGCUAGCCCACUUCCAAGCAACUCCCCCGCCUUCUCCCGCUCUGCUACCAUGGGAGAUCGUAAUAUACGACAGGCGACAAAGAUUUAAACAAGCACAAGAGAAUAAUUAAUGAAAUGAUUUAAAUUAAUCUUUUAUUACAUGAAGCUCUGCUUUCAAAAAUGUCUUCCCGACAAAUUAUACUUGAAGAGCGAACAUAAAACACCCAAAGCAAGUAAAGAGGGAGAUGACAUGAUAGGAACAUGGGGGAACAGUAAAAAGUUCUAAAAAAAGCAAACACUAGGUAAGCUGGACCAACCAAGAAUAUCCACAAUUUUAAGGUUAUAAUCACCAUCAUCAUCAUCAUGUCCAUGCAUGUUAAAGCAUCGUUUUAAGGUAAUUAACAAAACUAAUACAUCUACUUAAUUAGGUCAUAAGAUAUUGAUAAUGAUGAUAAUAAAAUAAACACCUGCACAAUCCAACGUAAUCACAAGAUAGGCACCAGCUUAGUUUUCUUUGAUUUAAUUUCUCUUCUUUACCGGCCCAAACAAAGAGCAGUCUUGACGUCCAAUCUCCAUGCAAAACAACCACUGUCCAUUCUCCACACAUCACACGGCACCGUAACGAUUGAAAUCUUCUCCUUCCCAUUAACCCUACACGUGUCGUGCUUCUGGUACUGCACCUUAACCCUGCAUGUGAAAGCCUUGUGACCUGCUAUGGUGACCUUCAUCGGCACUUUCUCCUUCAUCGCCAACCACACAAACACCUGAUGAUCUCCUCCCUCCCCUUGGCCCACCAUCUUCCUAUAAGCCUCAUUUUCCCACGUCACCCUCCCAUAACCGUCAGAUAUAAACCCUGGGCACGUGUCCUUCUCCAUAUUAAUCUUCUUCUCAUCAUCUGUACGCCCUAAACCAUCCAAAUCCACCCACGUGUCAGUUACGCAUUCAACUGUAACACACGAUCCCACUAUAUUCACCACUCGUGGCAUCACAACCGUCUGAUCCGCUGACACACCAAAGCCGACCGUGUUCUGAUGGCCAGCUUGAUCUUUCACUUUGCCAUCAAAACUAAGCCAUUUACUUUUUACUGGCUUCGGCGAAACGGAACCCGGAAACACUUCAGUCUUGAGUUCUUUCGUCCCGAAAUCUUUCCGAUCAGGUGUUUCCGGCAAAAGAGGCAGAGUUACGACAGAAUCGACCACCGCCUUAUUCUCUUCACCUAAAACCUUUCGUUUUCUAUUACCACCACUAUUACACUUCUUGCUAUUCGUACCCUUGCUGGUAUUACUGUACUUUCUCUUGCCUCUUCCAGACCUAGGGCUGACGUCACUCAUUUCUGGCGAUGACCCACCACCUGAAACAGAUGAACCAGAGGUGGCCGUGGCUGGUUUAGGCGCUAUUGGCCUGAACCUUAACAUGAUUCGGUCCACCUUUGACAUGCCGUUCUCUCCUCCAACACUUGAAUAUCUUGCAAUACAACACCCUCCUCUACUAUCCAUCUCUCUCUCUCUCUCCCCUCGCUUUGUUUAUCUUAAAUGGAGGUACCGAAUGCAAGGUGGUGUCGUGGUGGUAUUUUAUAGGGACUGUGGACACGCAUGAAGGAGGAAGACACGUGUGAAGACAGUGAGUUUAACAGCACAGGAAGGGGAUUGGUUGGGAUUAUCAACGUGGCGUUUGUAGGGGUUUCUUUGGGCCCCACUGAAUUGGGCCCAGCUUAUUAUCAAAUCAGAAGGCGAGAAGUUUCAUGCUCAAGAGCUAAAAUAGGGACACGUAAGUUUAUUGGGUCUUGUGCAUGGACGGGUAAGGUUAAAUUUUUUGACCUUAAUAAAGUUAUUCUAGGAGCAAUAGUUUUUUUAGUUGGAGAUGGAGAACUCGUGGACCAAUGGAGUUUCGAUAGAAAUGAAAGAGGGAGCGAGACAAGUUUCUAUAAAUAGUAGGGGAAGAUCUUGCCAGGUGCACGGCGGAUGUAGACCAGGAUCUUGCUGUCGUCUUAGAGAGAGAGAGAGGGAGGGAGAGAGAGAGAAUCUACAAAUUAUAGUUUUAAUGAUUGACCCGCAGCUGGGCCUUGCGUUGAGCUGAUAACUUUAACAUAGAUAAAAAAUAAAAUUUUUUAUUGGAAUUGUUCAUCAUAGAAAAAUGUAAAUUUGAUAUACUCAAAUUUUUUAUUAAUUUCUUUUAUUUGAAUACCCAGUUAUUUUAUCCAUUUGUGUUAUUUUAAUUUUGUUACCGUGCUAUCUAAUAUGUUAAAUGAUAGCAUGUUCGUUAUUCAAUUUUGCUACUGGGUUUAGAUUGAAAAAAAAAGAAAAUCUUUUUCAGUACCUAUGUUUUUAUUAGAUUUUAAGAGCAUCAGUUUUAAAAAUUUGAAUACAUUAACUUUUAUUAACAAAACCUAUUUUGCAUGGAAAAGUAUUGUCUAAAUAGACGUGAUUUAUUGUGGAUUAUAAUAGUAAAAUUAUAUUUUUACCCCUAAGAAAAAAAUCAUUUGAACUAACCUCUAGGGGUAGAUUGGUAUUUUUACAGGGUUGAUCAUGUCAUUUUGCAAUUGUUAAGGGGCAUAUUUGUCAUUUCAUAAAAUUUUUAUACAAUAAAAUUAUUUUAGUAUCCUGAAAAGCGAAGCUUACCUUAACUUAACUUAACUAUUCUUAGGAGCAUUCUUGGUUUUUUACUUUGUUUAGAACAAUGCAAUGACUCUGUCACCUUCGAAAUGAAAAUUCUCAAAGCAUCUUUGUGGAGAUGAAUUUGUCAUUUUAUAAUGGUUUUUUUAUCAAUAGCUAUUUGGUUGUGGGGUGAUGUUGUCUUUUGACACUUAGAAAAAUAUGAAAAGUUAUUGACACUUGUUGUGCACCCGUCAACACAUCAGCCACUCCAUCGUCUUCGUGUGGCACGUGUGUCUGAUUGCUGUGGUGUAAAAAUUAUUUCGUCAUGUCAUUUGAUGCGUCUCGAUGUUCUCUUCGUUUCUGGGUGGCCCAUGUAUGAAAAUAAUAUCUGGUUUGACGCCGAUUUGAUUUUCUUUUUUCCCUUCACUUCUCUCUCAUCUGACUCAAUUUUCACGUUGUCUAUGGAAAAUAUCACAACAACCCUUAAACUUCUUUUCUUUUUAGAUUCAAUCUCUGUUUUAUUUCAAAAAAUCACUUCAAAUUGGAAAGUUUUUUAAUUUUAUAUUUCUUAAGUUUGUCAUCUCUCAAAUUUAAUCCCUACUCUUUUGAAUUUUUUUUGGAAUGACCAAUAGAUUUUAUUUGUUUCUUGCAAUUUCAUCCUCAUUCUUUUUUUAUUUUCAUGUUUGGUCCGAUUUCUUUUAUUGCUAUUUUUUUCUUCUAAUUCUGUCAUUCAAAAUUAAAUUGGUUAAGGAUUGAGUUUCUUGCUUUAGCCCAACUCUGGGAUUUCAUAGGUUGUGAUUUUAAAAGAUUAACCUUAGUUUGCUUGGUUUUUUCAUGUUAUUAAAUUGGGGUUUAUAUAUAUAUAAAGAGAGAGAGAGAGAGAGAGAGAGAGAGAGAGAGAGAUUUGCCCGAGUUUCAAAUUUCUUUCACUUAUUUGGAAAUCCUAGUGUUACCUUAACUUCUGUUCUUUUUAAGGUUGAAAAAUUUGUCUCGGCGUUGCGCAUACCAUUGAUAUAGGCUUACUCAAUUCAUUUUUCGUUGUUCCUUUUUAUUUUAUUUUUCACCUUUUCCUUUCAAUAUUUGGUUUGUAUUAAUUGGGCCUUCUAUUUUGUUUCGAUGUGGGUUCCAUAAUUUUAUCAUUGUUUCAUAUCCACGUUGCGAGUUUCGCAGGGCAAUCAUGGUCGGUCUGAGUUAAUCCAGUGUGUUAUCGUUUCAAUACCCUUUAAAAAAAUAUAUCGUGCAAUGUGUCAUCAUUUAUAUAUUCGAAAAGUGUUUUGGCCAAUAUGAAUUAAAUUUUUAACUUUCUAACAUAUUUAUAUAUUUUUAGGUUAAAAAAAUAAUUCUACACGCGGCGAGCAUGAGCAAGGAACUAGUUUUUUCUAUAAUUGUCCUCUUCAUGUUAGGUUAGGGAAAUGAAAAGAAAAAAGUAACGGCAUGUCAUUAUAUCUCCCAUUAAUUAUAACAAGAAAGAGUGGGCCUCGAUCACAAAAAUUAGAAUGAAUUAACAUGAAGGAAAUGAGAAAGUAUUAUAAUUUUUUUAAUCAAAAGAAUUUUUUUUACAAGUUAAUAUACAUUCAUGGGACUUUCUCAUUAUGGUAGUCAAGAGAUCCAGGUCGAUUCAAUUUUUCCCCCCUCUUUUUUUUUCUUAAUAAAUGUUAUAGACAAUUUGACCUUUUAAAAUAAUUUCUUAUCUCCAACAAGGAAUUUGAAAAAACUUCGUAUUGGAUUUGGGCUUUUCAUUAUUGUGUUUUGAGCUUAAAGUGUUUGGAUUUGAAUGUAGCCUUUAUUCUUGGACUUGAUUUCCCCUACAAAACAAAUCCCAUAUAAGAAUGAGAGAUCAUUCGAUGCUUAAGUUAGUGAAAUGUAUAAGAGAAAUAAUGUAUAAGAGAGUAUAAAAGGUGAGAGACUAUAUUUGUGAAUGUUGUAUCAUGUCUAAACUUAAUGAAUGCUUAAGAGAUAAUGUAUAAAAUAGUAAAAAAAUGGUUGUGUUUUGUUUAAACUUAUUGAAUGAAUAAGAAAAAAAUAAAAAAAGGAAGAGAGUGUAUUUGUGAAGUUUGUGUUCUAUCUAAACUUAUUGAAUGAAUUUGUGUUGAAUAACUUGUUUACCUGGUGACCCGAGAUAUUUAUAAAUAUUUUUCAUGAUAGCUUACUUUACGGAGAGUGAUUUAAUAAUCAAGAAUAAUUAUUUUUUUUCCAGAUAAUUUAAAAAGAGUGAGUUAUUGGUAGUUGUAUCGGAUUAUAUCAUUGGUGAGAAGCUUGACGCUUAAGGGUAAUUGUUCUGUAAGAUAUAUUGGCGAUCUUUGAUGAGAGACGUCAAGAGGUUGGUGGGAGAAUUUUGUGAUUGAAUGUCAUUGAUUUUUUCUUGUUGAAAAUUUUGUGAUGUUGCCAUGCGUAACUUAAUUAGAACUUCAAUAUGUCUUCAACGUCUUAAAUUGAAAAUUUUGUGAUUUUUUUUAAUCUUGAUUUAUGCAUCGUUAAUCUUUUUUACUCUCUCAUGCGUGCCAACUUGUUUCCAUUGUGAUUUAUGUGAUCAUCGUAUAGUCUCCUAUUUACAGGAUAGCGUACGUGGAAGUGGCUUCCAUAACCCACCGAUUAAUUAUUCAAUUUAAAGUUUUCACUUCAUCAAUCAAUAAACGACAACAACCAAAUCCUAGCCAAAGUCGUUUGUAUAUAUAAUAGUAAUACAAAUUAAAAUGUUUGGGAAAAUGACUUGUUUCUACUGAUAGAGAGAUGUUGCCACGUCACUGCCCAUUUUAUUAAUUCUUAUCUCUAGAAGCAGUCAUGUGCAAGUGAAAGUUCCAAAGGAGUGGCCAUACCGUGAGGUUCAUACGAGGAAAAACAAAACCCUAAAUUUUAGACUCUAUUUGUUCUUAAAAUAUUUUCUUCCAUUUUUCAUUAUAAAUCAAAGACUAAAAUAAAUCAACAAAAAAUAUAUUUUAAUCGAUUUAAUCUUAUCAAUUCACUAAAAUAAAUCAACAAAAAAUAUAUUAGAAUAAAGUUAUGUAUAAUAAUAAUAAUAAGAUUAAAAAAUAUCGAUUUUUUGUCUUUGUAAACUCUCGUAAAUUUACCAUUUUUUACCCAUUGCUUCACCGUUUCAUGAUAUCUAAAUUAUUACAAGAACACCAACCACUAAUUCAUUCCUUCAAUUGUUGUCAAAGAAUCUAGUACCUAGAAAUUAGAAUCCAAGACAAGAGGAAGGCGAGAUGUCAUCUCCAAUAGCUUCUGAACUAACUUCCUGUAAAUCUCAAAUCACGUGUAAUAUCAAUGGUCAUCAUUAGUGUCCUUUUGUUUCUGUAUUUUAAAUAUUUUUUUAAAAUAUAUUUCUUUAUGAUUUUAAUUUAUUGAUGUUAAAAAUAAAUUUUAAAAAAUAAAAAAAUAUUAUUUUAAUACAUUCUCAAAUAAAAAACACUUUAGAAAAUAAUCUUUACUACAUUCACUCGUCUAAUUUCUUGUCCAGCCAUUGAAGUCAAAAUACAUAAACAUCAAAAUUAAUCGAUCCAUCCCACAUAUCCCAUGAUCUAGGAGUGUUCUUCACCUUCUUUUGAUGCGAGGGUGAGACCUAGCAAGCUAGCCGCUUCCAACAUCGUAAUCAGUACAUAUUGAUCAUGGAGCUGGAUUUCCUUUUCAGAAGGCAAUGUCCACCAAUAGCAUUCAGCCAGGUCAUGUCAAUCAGUGCUCUUCCCAGUUCCCAGAAAAUGUAAAAUACAAGGCAAUUUUCUUCUCCAGCACCACGUGUCCAUGCAAGCACUUGAUCUCUUCAAGACUUGAAAAGAACUAAAACCAUCCUUGCCAGCCUGCCCGACGACAUUUUUUAGGUUGUUGCCCUCUUUGAAAAUGGAAGGCGCAAGGAGACAGCCACUAGUUUAUUCAAUAUUUCCGGCACCGCAGAUUUCCAGUGGACCCCUAUAAAUACCGGAACAAUUGUAGCCACCGAGAUCGCGAUAUAACAUCCGGUCAAAUAAUUGUUUGGCAUUUUUAAAGAUAUUGAAAUACUUUUUAUUUAUUUUAUUUUUAACAUUUCCUCAUCCAAAUUAUUACACAAAUAUUUAAAUAAAAUAUUACCAUGAUGUCUACAAACACAAUAAUAGAAUUAAAAGUACAGUAAACUUGUUUAUUUUUGUAUUUUAAAAGUGUUUUUAAAAAAAUUUAAUUUUUAUUUAAUUUUUUUAGUAUUUUUAAAUCAUUUUAAUAUAUUAACAUCAAAAAUAAUUUUAAAAAAUUAAAAAUAUUAUUUUAAUAUAUUUUUAAAUAAAAAAUAUUUUAAAAAAUAACAUCAAUCAAAUUUCAUAUACACGCCCAGCUAUCCAAAAAUUGACAUCCCCAAAUCGCGCGGUCUAGAUUCGUGAAAAGAAAUGUAAUAAUUGAUGGCACAGCAUUAUUGGUAUGGUUGCCUCGUUCCGAGUAAUGAGAUCUUCAUUCUCAUGGAAUGAUUAGUGUCUCAAUUGUCACAUAAAUGUAGCAAUGCAACAUCAGUAUUGUUAGAGUAUGAUUAGUGUCUCAAUUCUCAUGGAAUGAUUACAGUAUGUUUGACAGUGUGAUAGCAAUUGCUUUUUAAAUAAUUUUUUAUGCUAAAAUACAUGCCAAUAAUAUUUUUUUUAUUUUUUUAAAAUUAUUUUUGAUAUCAGCACAUCAAAACGAUCAAAAAUAUACAAAUCAUAUUAAAUUUUAGUCAAAAAAAAUUGAAUUUUUUGAGAAUGCGGUUUGCACCGCGUUCCCAAACGGUUUCUUAUAUCCCUUGGUCCCCGAAUUUUUUAUUAUAAAAAUAACUAAGUUAAAGUAUACAAAAAAUAGUAUAGAUUCAAUAUAAUCAUGUUUUUUAAUAUCGUUAUUAUACAUUAUCAUUAUUUUUAUUAGUGGUUGUUUAUCCAUAUUUUAAAAUAUAAUUUUUUUGUAAAUUAAUUAAUUUAAAUAAGAAUUGUCUCGAAAUUUUAUAAAAAUUUAAUAAUUCAAGAUUAUAAAGAUAAAAUAGGGUGAUAUGACAAGAAAAAGAAAUGGGAUUUGAUUGGCUAAUACUCCUAGUGGCAUUUUAAUUAAAGGGGAAGAGAUUUCAUUAGAUUUCAGGCAGGCAAGAUCAUCUAUAUUAUUUAUCUGUUCUUUUACAAUUUCUACCAGUACAUAUAGGUAACCUUUCGUAAAGGGUAAGCCCUGGCCAAAGCCAGGAGAAAUGCAUAAGAGUCCCUUAACCUUUUUUUUUUUUUUUUUUAAUAUUCGUAUGGCAAAGAAUCAAGAGGUAUUGAUUUAGGCCGAAAGUCAAAUCAAUGGGAACAUAGUGUUUUCCACCAUUUUCUGCUUCCUUUCACAAUCUUCUAUAAGCUGUAUAAUAUCUAGGUUUCUUCCUUUCCUUUUUUUUUACCCUUUUUUUUUCUGAAAAAACAUCUCAUUAAAAAAAAUUUAUAAAAUGCUCAGUCUCUUUUACUAUGAAUUAGAAGAAUGAUAUAACUGUUUUGCCCUUUCAAAGAAACCUACAACCUUGUUGUCGGGGAUAAUAAAGUCUUUUCCUUAGGGUUCGUUGGUCAUUAGUAGAUUGAUCAAGGGUAAAUCAAUCUUUUUAACUUUUUGAAGCAUAAUGAAAUGACUAGAUUACCUUUUAAAGCAAAAUUUUUCAUUUUUUUAAGUAUAAUAAAAUAAUUUGAUUACCUUUAAAAGCAAUAGGUUUUGAAUUGACAUCUAAGAACUUUUUUGUAUUUUUUUAUCAUGAUUUUUUUUAAUUAUAAUCAAGUUGAUUAAGAGGUAAUUUGCUAUUUUAAAAAAUAUCAAAUAUCAUUUUAAAAUUAAAAGUAGAUGGCUUGUGCAACGCAUGUGUUAUUCUGGUGAUGCAUGAGGCGUCACUCGACGGCCUAACACUGCUUUUCUAUGAUGAUGUUGGAAAGGUUUCGACUCACUGUUCUUGAUGUUCAGGCGUGUGUAUACAGAGGUGCAAUGGUUGGGCUUCAUUAGAUUUUUUUUUCUUUCCCUUACCUCGGGUUUUGUGCUCAACCUUUCAAAAAUUAUAUGUAUUAUGUCAGUUUGUAUUUGUAUCAAUUUUGAUCAUCGUUCUUUUGAUUGUUAUUUGUUUUAUUUUUAAUUUUUUUUGAAGUUGAUUUUAUUUUUCAAUUUCAUCCCUCAACAUUAAAUUUAAUUUAAUUUUUAUAUCAAAUUCGAUCCUCAUUUUUUUAAUCGUUAUUUUUUUAUUUUUUUAAUUUAUUAUAUUUUUAAUUUCAUCCCUCGUUAUCUUAUUUUUUAUUUAAUUUUUAAACUGAAUUUAGUCUUUAUUCUUUUUUAAUUUGUUUUCUUUUUUAAUUUCAUCUCUCAUUAUUUUAUUUUAUUUAAUUUAAAUAAAAAAAUUUAAUUCUUAUUUUUUAAUUGCUAUUUAUUUAUUAAUUUUAAAUGAUUGAGAAUUUUCUUUCUGAUUUUUUCAUGUUUAUCUUAUAUGUGAUAAUUCUAAUCUUAUCACUUGUGUGCUCCGCUACUUUCAACAUGAAACUCCUGGUGAGGUCAUAAUGACCAGUGAGUUGAAUAGCUGUUGAAGAGUCCUUGAUUCUUCCAUUGUUCUAGCUAUCCAAUUUCAAUCAUCUACGUCAUUUAACAAAUAACUCAUGAAAAAACCCUCAGAUUUUCGAGAGAUUUUCAACGUCUUCAUCAUUAUCCAUGGAAAAACAGACAUCAAUCGUGUGGCAUGUCCCUCAAUCCCUCGUUGAUUAAAGAAAACAAAGCACAAAAGCACUGCUUUCGUCGAUUGUUUUAUCUUCUUCUUCGAAUAUUUAGCUUCAAGGUUGGGCCUCCGAGCAUGUGCCUCCAAUGGGAUUUGACCACAUCAAGUGCCAUUCGAGUAUUUUCAAAGCUGAUCCCCUUUCUCACGCUUCAAAUAAAUUAAUUUUAGAUUAGCUUGUAUAUACAGGGUUUCUGCCACGUGUAUCUAAAGCUGCUAAGCCCUAAUAAGUCUAGACAGAUUAGGUUCAGGCAACUUUCCCAAUCCAAGAAAGGAUUCGAAAUCUAGAACAAUGCUCAUGGCAGCGAAAGCGAAAUAUAACUCCUCUUUGGAGUAUCUUCUUAUUUGGAUGCCAUAAUGAGCGAGACUUACCUUUGGAUUGGACCCAUUAAUUAAUGUAUCUUCUCAUUCUUUAUCUUUGUAUCAUUUAAAACGAGUCUUGAGUCCUCUGCCUCAAUCAGACCGAGCUCUACCUUUUUUUUUUUUUUUUAUUAAUUUGAUAUAGUUUUAUUUACUAUUCAGGAAUAAUAUUUAUUAUUCAUAAGUAGUGUUUGCUAUGCAAAAUUUAUUUAGAACAAGUCUAGAGUCCGAACUCCUCUCUCUCCCUCUUUUUUUUUCUUCUUGGCUUAAUAUGACCGGGUUAUCUUAUCUCACCUUGUAAACAAUACAAUUUGCAUGAUACUAUUCAUAUAUGCACUGCUUGUCACUAUUCAUACUAUUUAUGAAGAGUAUAUUUUCUCAUAUAUUUCAUCAUAUAUUUUUCUAAAUAUUUUAAAAAUAUCUAUCAAAUAUUUUCCAAGUUAUAUAUUCUUAGAUUUUAAGGAAGAGAAAAGAGUCUAAACACUUAUAUGUACACUUCUUCAUAAUACAGAUAACACAAGAUAGAGAACACACAUUUUUUUUUCAAGCAUUAAAAAAUUCAUUUUUUUUAUUUUAAAUAUUUACCUGAUCGUUACUUGAAAAAAAUUCAAAUAAUAACUUAAGCAUCAAAGUUUUUCUCUUUACAUGAUAAACUUGUUUUACAAACUCCAAAGCUUAACAUCUAUGGAAAAUUAAUAAUUUUCUUAUAAAGUUUUUCAACCACUCGAUCACAUCACCAUGAAAGAAUAAGAAGGUGUAAGACUGGGAUUUUUUUUUUAUUGUAGCAAACUAGAUCGUUAGUUCAGAUUUAUUAGACCCAUAAACUUGUAUCCAUCACUAUGACAUGGGUUCAUUCUAGCAAGUGUUAAACAUCAUUUCAUUUUAUUCUAAUUUGUAUUUAUCUCGAUUAAUCUUACAAAUCUUAAAAAUAAUGGCUAUGUAAACUUCUAGUGACUCAAAAUUUGUGAGAUUCGAACUGAUGACUUUUAAAAAGUAAACUUGAAAUUUAAUCAGUUAAACUAUACAUAUAAACAUCAUUUUAUUUCAAGUUUAAGGAGAUGGCUAGAAAAUAAAUUUUCAUAAACAUGCAAUUGAUUUAUCUAGAAACGUAACCAGGUUUGGGUAUGGAAAUGAUUGUUGGUUCGGCCAUCAACACGUGGGUCGUCCAUACAAAAACACAUGUCAUCAAACAAUUGAUUGGCUUAUUGUGAUCCUUUUCAAAAUCACAUGUGAUGAAGACUUUUCAACUUAUCCUUUUAGGACACACCCACAUGGCAAUCAUCAAGGACAAAGGAGACGGGUCAAAAUUUUGCCAUCUCGUGAAGUCCAAAUAACCAGUAGUGUAUAUUAAAUAAAUACGAAUAAAAAAACUUCCAAAAAAUAAAAUUAAUUUAAUGUAACAAUCUCAAUUGGGCAAAAAGAGCCGUUAAAUUCAUUCAUGCAUGGCAUGGUCAAGCUAUAAUGAAAACCUAAAGUUUAAAUUCCCCAAUCCAUAAGAGCCUGAAGAAAAAUUACAAUUACAAAAUGUAUUAAAAGAGUUAGACAUUUUACUAUAAGAAUUCAUGGUAACCAUAGUUUUUUUUUUUCUAAUUCCAAACCCGAACUUUAUUUUUUCAUUUGCAGCCUUUAAUUGUCUAAACUAAUUUAUUAAAAUUUGCUAAGAAACUAAAAACUUUAACAAAAAAGGAUCAAAUUGUAAAACAAUAAGAAAUCUAAUGGUCAAUCUCAAAAUUUCUAGAAAAAAUUCUAUUUAGUCCGCCUACUUUUUUUUCUUACUCUUCAAUCAUCCCUUUAGUUUUUACAAUUUUAAUCUUGAUUCAAUUUUUUUUCCUUAACAUUUAAAUCUCUGAGUUUGAUAUAAAAGAUAGAAAGUCAUCUAAAAACAAUGAAAGUGAAAGAAACAUGGUGAACGAUUAUUUUUCAUCAACAAAACUCACUAUUUCUAGGUCAAAUAAACCUACCCUAGAUUGUCCAGCCACAAAUAUAAUGGAUGAAUUAUAGACAGACAAGCUACAUAUCUUCUUCCUCUUUGUUUUUUUUUAUCAAUAUUAUACUACCAUCACCAUAUUUUUCACAUCAUUGCUUACCAAAAACUAUUUCCAUAUAAAAUGUUUACAAUGUAUUUUUCUUAUAUUAAAGUCACAAAUCUCAAAAAAUAUACAUAUUAUUAGAGAUUAUAACUAUACCUCACUAAUUGUUACCACUAUGAACCCUCAUUGAACAAUUAGAGGGGGGAUUUGUUUUUCAUAUAUAAAAUAAUCUAUAUGAAUUUUUUUUUGGUUUUGUUUUUAUGUUUAUAAACAUUAAUAAUUUAAAGAGUGCGACUAAAAGAUACAUUUUUUCCUUCUAAAAUUCCAAAGAAAAGUCAUUGAAAUUUAUAAUUCUAAUAAAAAAAAACUCUGGCUUCAGACAUGAGGGUGCUAUUAUUCAUAAAAGAAUAUGAAAACAUGAAAAUGUAUGAUUUAUAAAUAUAAUUAAUUUGAAAAAUAUGAUUAAAAGAAAAAUUUAUUUCCAAUUGUAUAAUGAAAGCAUAUAAAAACCGAGUAUUAUCAAUUACAGUCUUAAGUUUACUUACAAUAAUACAUUUAAUAUGCAUGAGUAUGCAAAGAUUAUAAUUUCUUCUUUAUAUCUAAGAUUAUAUAAUAAAUAAUUACGUAUUAUUAUUUAAAUAGAUUUUAUAAAUCAUAUUAAAAUUAAUAAAAUUAUGUUGCACACAAAGUGCAAAUACAUUACUUUUUUUUUUAUGUUAAAAAUAAUUUUGAAAGUGAAUUUGAAUACGGUCAGAAUAUGGGCCGAAACAAGCAGAUUUGAAUAAAUUCUGGUGGGUGAUUUUUCAAAUAAUUCAAGCCCAAACGACGCCCUUGUUCCCAAGCAUUCCGUUUGCGGCCUUUUUCAUCAUUUCAAUUUGUCUUCAAAAGUUAAUUAUAACUUAGUCUCUGAUUUAGCAAAAAUAAUUAAUUAAUCUUUAUUAUUUCAGAAAUUCUUAUUUAAUCCUUAUGUUUUCACAUUUUUUUUAAUAAUUUAUUUAUUUUUAAAAAAUAGAAAAGGUAAAAGAGAAGAAGUAAACAGGAUGGAAAAUUCAAGAAAAAAAGAAAACAUUUUAAAAAACAAAAUAAUGUUAACUUAAACAUGAUAAUUUACAAGCCGAUCAUAAUCUUCGACUUACACACUUGAACAGAGAAUAAAAUUAAGAAUAUGUAAAGUCUAUAACUUGAACUGAAACAGAUAGGAAAUGACCGAUCCCAGGAAAUGAAAAACAGGCGAUGAACCUCAUGAUUUAGAGGCUAGAUGAUCCCAUAGGGUGAUGGAUGACGAUAUUAUUAUAAGCAUUCAGGGUAAGAAAAUCAUCUGGUGCUGGUGCAGUGCGUUGGCCUGUGAAAAUCCUGCAAGCCUCCCUGUACAUUCCCUUUUUGAACUUCUCUUUCCCAACUUCCCUUUCAAUCCUAGCCAUUUCCUCUUCCACCACUUUCCUGAACAGAUCAUUGUUCACUUUCACUCCGAGGUCGUCUCCGUCUAGUUCCACUCUAAAUUUAAGCCAUUGCCAGUUCUGAACUCUGCUGAUUUCUGCGGUUGCAGCAUCUUCCAUGAGGUUGUAAAGAGGGACCGAGCCAGUUCCCCUUAGCCAUGCUGCUAAGUGCUGGAUUCCUACGCGGGUGUUAAGGCGGAGACCUUCCAGUGAACGAGACCCUCUUGGCCUAUGUAAGAGAUCUUCCUCGGUUACGGUGGAUGCAUCUUCACGCUUCAUGGAGUGAAUUUGGUUUGGUGUGUUUCCCAUAUUUUUUGAGAAGACUUCCAUGCAAACUGGGAUAAGUCCAGGUUGGGCUGCCCAUGUUCCAUCAUGUCCUGCUCGAACCUCUCUUAGCUUGUCCUUUCGCACAAGUUCUAGUGACACAUUGUUCGCCCCAGUAUCGUAUCUGAUUGGAAUCUGAGCUGCCUGUUUAAGAAUCAAGAGAUUAAACAUGGAUAUAAAAAUUAAGUACAAAAUUUCUUAAGAGUUGCUGUUGGCUCAGAUAAAUAUGUUUUGUAUAACAUGCCACCCAUGGCGUGCACGCCACGCCUAUGGCAUGUCCAGAUGAGGAGAUCAGAGUAGCUCUUCAUAAAGUGCUGAGUCAUGCAACUUGAACCCUGUGUGGUUAGCAGGCCAUCUGGGUGAGCCUGGAAUGUCUUGGCAUAGCUGAAGAAGUAAUCUCAUCUUCCACAAUUCAAGCCAACAGAGUGAUCCCUCAGGUCGUAGAGGAUUUCAUUCAUUUGGAAGAGAGCUGGAAGUGUUUCGAUCAGGACAGUGGCCUUGAUGCUUCCCCUUUCAAUUCCUGCCAUCUUCUCCGCUUUCUCAAACACACAGUUCCAUAUCUUAGCCUCCCUGCCAAUAAUUUAGAUCAUAAAUAAAUGUUUAGUUCAACGUGAAAUAACGUGAUCGCCAUUAGUAAUAAUAUAGCUUCAUCAAUCGUUGUUCUAAAGCAACAUUGCGUAAGGGUUCCUCCAACAAGUGAUGACUAUGAUUGGGGUAAGAGGAUAAAUUGAAGCUGAAAUAAUGUUUUGAAUUAAUUGAUGCUUUCUGUGAACUUUCAAAAGGGUUUCGAUUUAUUCUCAAAAUUAAGUGCUGAAAAAACUUCUAAGUUAUGAUUGCUUGACAAUUUAGCUGCUUUAUUAUGUCAGAUAAAAGAUUACCUUGAAUGCUCCAUCUUUGGGAGAUAAAAGAAAGGCCCAAAUCCUGGACCCCGAGUCCGACGGAAUGCAGCAUGGUUGUGGUAAAAGUAAAGGCCAAAGUCCACAAGGCAACCAGUUGCAGGUUCUCCAUCAAUGAGAAUGUGUGCCUCAGGCAGAUGCCAACUUCUUGGGCGAACAUGUCCAAUCACCUUCCCUGAUGUACCUUGUAGCUGGAUCAAACCCUGGUAAAGCCCCCUCUUUGUACCUCCUUUUGGCUUCCUUGCGACACUCCAUUGCAUACUUGAUGCGGUUCCUAAACUCUCUCUCCAGAUCAAAAACAAAUUGCAAAGCAUCCUAGGUAAGGAUCUUUGCAAAUUCCCCAUCAUAUCUGCCCCUAAUUUCAACCCCUUCUGGAGCAUCAUAGCCAAACUUCUUCACAUGGGGCGGUGCAUAGUAAUUUUCACAAGUUGCAAGUCCCAUUACUCUCUCCUGUUUUUCUAGCAACGCUACUCUUCUUUCUCGUUAGUUUUGGCUUUAUGCGAGCAAGAUUAAUCGAACGUGAAUAAAAUGAAGGAUGUGAGGAUUGAUUAUGGUGUUUGUGCCUACCUCGGGAGGUGCAAAUUGCUAGAGGAGAUGGUGGUGGGAUGGAGGCGUAAUACAAGCUGAGAAAUUGCUGUAUUGGCAGGCAGGCAUUUGGGCCGAUUGGAGGGGAUGAACAAAGAGUUCACUAGUUUUAAGCCCAGGAAAACGGAUCGAGAAGCUCUGUAAGCCAGCCCCUUCUCUGGGCACAGCAAGCCCGGUGACGUUCUUGAAAGCUAAAGAUUUGUAAUUAAUGACAUUUAUAUAAAGAAUGAGUUACUACAACAUUAAAUCUUAUUCUUCAUUUAUAAAAAUGCAUAAUAAUUUUUUCCCCUACAAUUACCAAAUUUUUAUUUAUUUAAAAUAUAUUCUAAUACACAAAAUCCGUCAAAUUAAUUUUUUAAAAUAAUAAAAUGUUUCUAUAAGAAACUCAAAAAUACAAAGUAAUAUAUAAAAAAUUAUCUUUUAAUUUUAUUAACAAGAUAGAGUCAAAAAUAAAAUUCUAUGAUAAGUUUUUAUUUAAUUACCUCUAGUGGUUCACAAUAAUAAAAUGACAAAAGGAGGGGGGGCAUUAGAAAUGUAAAUAUAAAAUAUUGCAAGGGUCUAAAACAUAAAAAAGAAAAAGGAAAGAGACAAGAAUCUCCACCGCCCAGGAGUCCACAGAAAAAACGAGUAGCAGCCGACUCAGAAACUAUCUAUAUAAAUUAUUCCAAUUACUGGCGGAGGUCAAACCAGAACACCGCACAUAAUUGCGUAAACGCGCUUUGGAUUCUCUCUCCUCUUUUUUUUCAACUGUUUCUUCGAUUCCGAUCAACGUUGAUUUUGUCUCCGUCUCUCUAUAUCUCCGGUAAGAUCUUUGAUUACCCGUGUUUUCUCAAGGAGAGACACCGUCAAAACCAAAAAAACAAAAGAAAAAUAAUCACGAUCUGGGGUUUCGAUUUUUUUUCCAAUCAAUUUCAUUUUUUUUCCAAUUAAUCGUAUACGGUAUUUUCCAUGUAUUUGUUUGAUUGCUGAAUAGAUUUGAAGUACCUAGGUUUUGUUUUUUUUUUUUUAAAAGAAAAACAGGAAAUUGAAUUGAAUUAGGGUUUGUGUUUGGGUAUCUGGAAAAAGUUGUUUUGUUUGUUUCCUUGUGAAUUUUGAUUGAGAAGAGUUGUGUGUUGUGGUUGUUGAUAAUAUGGCGGCAGGGCGGCUCGAUGUGUCCAGGAGGCGGGGUGGUGGUGGUUAUUUUGAUGAGGUGAAGCGGGGUGGUGAUCGUGGUUUGGUACGGAAAAAUGGGUAUCAUAGUUCAACGAUUGUGCCUAGCUUUGAUUUUAGACGAAGUGGGUUUAGUUGUAGAGAUGAAGAACGACAGUCAGGGGAGCCGUGGCAAUUUAAUGCCUUCUGUUCCUCGAAGUAUGAGGAAGGUGAGAUACCAGCAAAUGAAGAUGGGGUUCAAUUGCCCGCAGAGAAGAAAAGGAAGUUUUCUCCUAUUGUAUGGGAUGUUGAGGAGAAAAAAGCGAAGAUUUCUUCAAAGAAUAGAGUUGUUCAGGGGAGUAGUACUCGGGAUUUAAAUGUUGUUUCAGACGAGGAUGUUGUGAAAAGUCCUGUCAAAGGAGGAUUGGAGCUUGUGGUGGACAAGGAUUGUGUGGAUGGAGGAUCAGCUGAUGGUAUUGGAUCUGAGUAUCCAGCGCCUUUGUCUCCUUCAUUGCAUCCAAAGAAAGAUGGGGGUUAUGACCAAGAGCAGGGACAAGUGGAGGAGGAAGAGCUUCCUGAAGCACGGAAUAUAGCCAUGUCCCGGUGGGCUUCUGAUGAUGAUUCUCCAAGGGAUACCACUUUGAUUGAUGAUAAAGGAAUGCAUGGAGAAAUGGUGUACAGGACAGAUUUGAUUAAUAGAGAAGGGUUCCAGAGAGAAGUCUCAGAUAGAGAUGGAUCAAGUUCAUCUCUAUCGGAUGAAAGAGGUUACAGUGGCAGCUCUGCUUCGGAAUAUGAAUUGCAAAAUGAUGUCAUGGACAUUGAUGAUAUUAGGGAUGAAAAUGCCAGUGAUAAUGAGAUGGAGCAAACCGCUGGUGAAGAGCCCACAGUUACUAACCAAAGGGGGUUUAAUAUGCUAGAGGGUUGUAGAAGUGUGUUCGAGUAUGAAAGACUCAAUGAAAUCAAUGAAGGAACCUAUGGUAAAGUGUACAAAGCCAGGGAUAAGAAGACUGGAGAAUUUGUGGCUUUGAAGAAAGUGAAGAUGAAUGUCGGAAGAGACAAAUACUUGGAAGAGUAUGGUUUCCCCUUGACAUCUUUGAGGGAGAUUAACAUUCUUAUGUCUUUUGAUCACCCUUCAAUUGUGCGAGUUAAAGAAGUUGUGAUGGGGGACCUUGAUAGUGUUUUCAUGGUGAUGGAGUACAUGGAACAUGAUCUCAAGGGGCUGAUGCAAGCGAUGAAGCAGCCUUUCAGUACAAGUGAAGUCAAAUGCUUAAUGCUACAGCUUUUGGAAGGUGUCAAAUAUCUUCAUGAUAAUUGGGUGCUUCACAGGGAUUUGAAGACAUCAAACCUUCUUUUCAAUAACCAGGGAGAGUUGAAAGUAUGUGAUUUUGGGAUGUCACGCCAGUAUGGUAGCCCAUUGAAGCCAUAUACCUCUCUGGUGGUUACUUUGUGGUACAGGUAAGUUGCACUUUACAUGCUUAAUUUAUUUUGUGUUUUGAAGUUCUCUUGUAAUUUUCUGGACUGGGAUAACUAGAAGUUUUAAGCUUAUCUAGUGUUACUUUUACAUUGCAGGGCACCAGAACUUCUUCUUGGAGCAAAGAAAUACUCUACAGCAGUUGAUAUGUGGUCAGUGGGUUGCAUAAUGGCUGAAAUGUUGACCAAGGAACCCCUAUUCACAGGGAAAGGUGAAAUUGAUCAGCUUGACAAGGUACUAAUCAACUUCUGCUCUGGUACUUUACUCAUUUGAUUUUAUUUUUUGUAAGAUUUAUUUUCCGUAGUUCUUUUCUGAUUUGAAAAAAAAAAUGAUUGCAGAUCUUCAAAACUCUUGGCACACCAAACGAGACUAUUUGGCCUGGGUUAUCAAAAUUGCCAGGGGCAAAAGCAAAUUUUGUUCAGCAACCGUAAGUAUCUGUUUGGUCUACCUUGUCUGUUAUUAUUUUUUUCCCCUUAAAAAUAUCUGAAUGCUAUUGGCCUGCACACCUUAUAGAUACUGCUUUCUUUUUCAGGUAUAAUCAAUUACGGAAGAAGUUUCCUUUCACACCUUUCACAGGAUCUCCAGUUCUCUCUGACUCAGGAUUUGACUUGCUAAACAGACUCCUAACUUAUGACCCAGAUAAGGUAAUUGUAGUGCAUAUGUUCCAAGUUGGUUUUUGUUACUGCCCCAUGGUUUUUAAAAUAUAUGAUUAUUAUACUAAUUGGUGUUGCUUAUUGCUAAUGCAGCGAAUAACAGCAGACGACGCUCUUAAUCAUCCCUGGUUUAAUGAGGUCCCACUAUCAAAAUCAAAAGAAUUCAUGCCUACUUUCCCUCCUCAGUAUGCAAAGAACAGGUAGCUGAUAGACUGGAUGACAAGAAGCAGUACACAACUGAGAAAAAUUUAGUGAACCUCUUACCUUUUCUUCACUAUUUCCCAGAACAGGGCUUCUUGUUGUGUGCCUUUUUCUCAACUUGUACUCUGACUCUUAGGCCUAAUCAAAGAACAAUGAAGUGUCUAGAUUCCAGGAGCAUUGGUGAAGGAAGGCAGUACCAGGUGUUAUCUGGCACAUAUUGGUGGAUAUCAUCCUUUGGGAUUUACAUCCUUUUUUGUAAUGAUCCUGCAGUCCUUGACCCGCAAGGUCCUGAGUAUUGACCUUUUUCUUUGUCUUCCAUUGUUUCUGUUCUCUUUUAAUCAGCUUGAGUUCAGAAUGAGUGUAAAUAUCUCUCAACUCAGUUAUAAAUGAUUAGAUUUAUUCAUACAUAUCUUUUCAUUUAGUGCUAAACUGUUAUUCAAUCUAUUUUCUUGUAUAUUCAAACUUUGCUUGCUAGAGAGAACUGAUGUAAGGCAAUGGAUUGGGGCGCUGAUAUUUCUGGUCACUUGUAAGGUACUGAACCUCCUAUUUGUUUGAUGAUUAUGUAAUCUGGUUUUAUAUUUUUGCUUGUUUUGAUCCAGAUUAAAAUUUCUCCCGACAUUCGGUUGAUUCUACUUUCACGUUGACUCUUUUUAUGCUCUCACCAAAGCCAAGACUGUAUUUGAUAUCGUUGCCUUCAUUUAUUAUUCAUAGUCAGCUUUCUGCUUUUUAAAUUCAGCACAUGAAAGCCUGUCCUAUUUUACGCUUUUGUGGUUCAGCUUGUCAAUGCAUUUUCUAUCAAGCUCAAGAAGAAGAAAAGUAAUGUUAAGCUGCUAUAGCAUUUUGUUAGGCUCUCAUUAUUCAAUGUAAAAAACAUAUCUGAGAACCUGUGAAGUUUGUUUGGAAAGUGCUCUUUAUAGUGUUAAAUCAGGUGCACCUUUUGAGAUAAUUCUGAUGUAUAUUUGCGAACAAAUGAUGCAUAACUUACAUAUACGUCCCUGCUUCGCUGAUGUGUCAUUAGCCUCUGUUGGUUUUUCAUGGGUCCACAAGUUCUUUUGGACCUCUGUCAACACGUUUAAAGAUUUUUCAUUUUUCAUUUAUAUAUGUUAGUUCUUUUGAUUCUGAUCCCUGUAAAUUCCCGAGUUACCAGCUUCCUUCAAUGAUGGCUGCUAUAGAAUUUGCAACUACUCAGCUACCGUGUUUCUCAAGUUCUUUUGGUUGGAUGUUCAGCUGGUAUGUGAAUAGAAUGUGGAAAGGUUAACCCCCUUGCUCUUUUUUUCUACUCCAUCCUCGCUUGUUAGUCUGUUCUGGCUGACUUGUAUUUCUUGAUCCUAGAUCAUUUUGUACACGCAUCCUUUUCUUUGCAAAAAUGUGCUCCCGUGCAGGUUUGGAGGAAUAUCCCCAGCUCCCUCCAUACCCACCUGUUCAUGCGCGUGGGAGUAGAAGGGGUUUAAUGUUGCAGAACAUAAAAAGAAUUGCACAUGCAAUUACCUCCCAUGUGCUCUGCUUUCCCACUCUACUUCACAAAUUCUUGGAUUCUUGUCUCUCGAUUCUUUGGGCUUUUGAGUUACAGCAGCGUUUAAUAUCGAGAAGACUGCCAAACGUGUUGUGGCCUAAUGUUUGAGGAAGCAAGCAAUAUGUGAAUACCCAAUUGUUCAUUUGGACGUUUCAGUUCAAUCUUCUCCUCUGUUUCUUUACCAGGAAUAAUGUUCUGAUCAUUUUGUGAUGAACACAGCUCAAAAAUACUUUGAAAUCAAUGACAUUUAUUAAUACAGAGGUAUUUUUCUCCCGAAACAUAUGCUUCGUCUGACUUUGAAACACGAGCUUAUUUUGCUUCACUUGAACACCUACAUGGGGCAUGGUUUUGCUUUCGACAGAACAAACAUCACAGAAGUGCAGUAGCACCAUUUGUCAAUGAGUAUUCUUGUUCGCGGAGCCAUUAAGUAGAGGAGCGAUAAUCCUGAAUGCUCAAUGAUGUCAAAACUCCUCUUGAGCUCGUUACCUGCGGAGGCGGUAUGUAGGGAGCAAUAAUUCUCCAGUCCUGAAUGUUCGUUCACCUGUUAUGCUUUAUCAAUGGACGAGAGAGUUGUAAAAUCGAUGUCCCUUGUAAAUCAGCCAUUUAUAUGGACUGAAGAUGUUAUGUUAUAAAAACUUAGAUGAUCUUAAAUGAGAAAUGGGGCCAAAAAUUUAUAUGAACCGAUAUAGAUUUGUUGAGCUAAAUCGUUCACUUUUGGAGGCGCUUAGAACUAGGAAAUUUUACACUGGAAAUCAGGCAUCAAGUUUUGUCAACUUCGGCAAGCGACCUAAUGUUUAUACAUGGCUGCUAACAUGGCAACAAUACAUCCAUCCCAAACAUCAAAAUAUAUCUGAAUCUAGAAAAUAUCAAUGAUCCGACCCUCUUCUCAAAUCAGAUGGCUCUAUUCUUACAAAAAGAACAAGCGACUUCAUCUCUAAAACGAAGAAAGUGCUAGUAAGGAAGAAUUGGCUCGAGAGUCCCAAGUAAAUGAUAGUUCCGAUAGACCAACGGUUCAUUUUCUGAUUAUCAUCUUUGAUUGUGUGGUGCAGGCAGCUAAAGAAUUUUUAUACUUUUGUAGUUAGCAUAGAUGUCUUAUUAGAAGAACGAAUCUGAAAAAGGUUAUCUAUAUAUUAUUAUGAGCAUUCAAUCCACAGCGUAGAGGGGGAAAACCACUGUUUUCUUUAUUUUUAAUUAACAUCUCCAUCCUCUGCAUGUUAGCCUGUUCAGUUCCCCCAUGUCUUUCUUGUUUGCAUAUAAUUUGUUCAGGCAUCGCUUUCUGCUACAUUCUCGGGGUUUCCCGAAGAGGAAAAAGGGUUGCCGAACAUGAACAUGAAUUGCACUUAUAAUUGCCUGGUUUCAGCAAUUCACUUCAUAAAUUCUUUGACUGUUGUUUUUCUCAGUUCCUGUUCAACUUACAGCAGUGUGGAUGAAGAUCAGUACGCUAUCUAAGAAAAAACAAAUCGGGGGGUAAGGUGUUACUAAUGUCUACUGAACAAGCAACAUGUGCAAACGUAAUUGUUAAGCUUGUAUGUUCCAGUUCAAUGUCCUCAAAUCUUUUUCAACCGAAAAUAAUCAUCUAGAAGAGCAACCCCACAAAAUCCAGUUAACAUCAUCUAGAAGAGCAAUCCCAUUCAUCAUCCAUUUAUAGGGUAUUCUAUAUAUUUCCUGCGGAGACGGUAAAUAAGAGCAACAAUUCUCCAAUCCCAAUUGUACAAUAAUCGAGACAAACACCUUGUAGAGCUGCACAGAUGGAUCGGAAGUAAAAUAAAAGUGCAAUGUAAAUCAGGCGAGAAAAAAACUGGCUAUGAUCUUACAAUGUUAUCAUAUCAUUUGUGAUAAUCCUGUUCAACUGGAGCAACAAAUGAGGAGUUUGACUGGGACUUAUAGCUGACUGAUAUCAUAAAGAGUUCUUUCGGGGAAAAAUAAGGUGCUUGGAACAAAGAAAAUUGAAACCUAUAAAACAGCAUUCAAUCUCAUUUGUCAACUUUAGUAUGCAACCUGAUGUUAGAACAAGGUUGCUAACAUAGAAAUACAUCUAAAACAAUUACACAAACAACGUAUCAGAAUCUAGAAAGUACUAAUUAUGCUGCCCAUUGACUCCCGCAAAAAAUUGGGUGGAAUAUGCGAGUUUUAUGGGGUAUGCUGUGUGAAUUUACGAAUGAUUAUGGUCUUCCCAAGUACAAAAAGAACCAGCGACAUCUCCAAAAAGAAGAUAGUGUUGAUGAGUGUCCGGUCAAUUGUCCAUCCAAAAUCCAAAAACACUAAACCCACCAGGAUUGGACUGCAAAUACGUCACUGCAAAAGAAAAGGGGGGGGUCAGUUAACUUCACGGUUAUUCCGAGGAAGAAAUGAAAAGAGCCACAGAAAUUGAAUGACUUAUAGUUUUAUUAGAUUGAUAUUCAUUUAUCUGCUUUUGAUAUGCCAGAUCUUGAUUAUAUGAUGCAACCAAGGAGCUAAACUUUUUUCCUCUUUUUGGUAGUUGCCAGAGAUGUUUGUUAGAAGAAUGAAUCUGUUCAAGCUAUAUAAAUAGUUGCAUAAGAAUCAAAAUCAUCAUUAACUUAAAAGGGUUGUCUCUUGAAUGGUCCUAUUUGGGAAAACAAAGGUUUGCCACCACAUCGGCACCUAUUUAUUUAACUGCAGAAUUGAAUGCUAUCCCCACUAUUCCUGUUUACUAUCAGUUCAAGUAGCAUCCAAAAGUAUAGGCCAUGGGAGCCUUUUGUGUUGUGAGAAAAGAAAAAAACACUGUUGGCCUCAGGGAAAGUGAAAUUUGAUAGGGGUUUAGAGACCAGGGUGUCAAAAAGGGUUUUGUGCGGCUGAUAAAAAUUGAUUACUACUAGUUUUGGUGUGUACUAUAAGGUAUGACCAACUUGGCUUGGUUGGUGCUGAACCUAUCUCACAUAGCAAGAGAUUCUUUGCUUGUACAUGCGAUGGAAGUCUCUAUCAUGAUGAGUCUUGCAGCUACAUGCAGCAAGCCUAGGAUGAGUGGAUCCCCACCACUUAGGAUUAGGACGAACUGAUUAGUUACUAAUAUGAAAUGUAUUUUCAUUUGCAGCUACAGUGAAAAAGAGACGACAAUUUGAGUGCACAAAACUGAUUGUUGGUUUAGAUACAUACCAAAAGCUUGUCUCUUGUGAUAUGUUGACAUAUAUGAAGCCAACUGGGUAGUAGUUGGCACUGGCACAUAGUCAACUGCCUCCAAAUCACUUUCUGAAUAAUUUAUGCACAAUAAAUGGCCUGUAUUGGCAGCCUCCGAGCUUCCACAAUUGCUGCUUAUUUCCACUUGAGAAGUGUCAUCAGAGGCACAUGUAACUAUAGAAUGCCAUUUAGCAGCAACUGAUCCAGUGCCUUGUGCUCUAUGUGUGAUUUUUGCAGCAGCAUGCAGGCAAAUUAUUAAACCAACAAGCUCAACUAUAGAAGAGAUCUGCAACCAUCACAAAAUUGCAAUCUAAGAAAGAAACUCAAGUCUAGAAUUGCUAUGCAAACACGUGGAGAUGCUGGUGUAUUGUUCAAAUAUUUUCAGCUAACUUUGAAAGCUGUGAGUUGUAUGGUUUAACAAUUUGCAUUAGAAGGUCUACCUUUCCUUUUCCAUCCAAAGUCUUGUACUUCUUUUGUAACUAAUUUCAUGAGAUAUUGCUAAAAGGUGAUGAUUUUGUAACGAGGGAUGUUAUCUACAUAUAAUGCUUCAAUUUAAAGGUAAAGACACAAUUAAACACAAGUUUCUGCAAGAGGUGGAAUUUAGAAUUGAACAAGUUGCUCCUUAUCAAAUCUAUGGUAAACUGAGAAGGAAAAAGCAACAGCAUAUUUUUCUGCACUUACCACAAAAUCACCACCAUUGAUGAAAUUGAUAAUUUCACUAUUCCAUGUAGUUUGAAAUAAAGCCACAACCUGACUCGCUGUCACAACCAAGAGCUCAAGAAUGAAAAAAAUUCGGAACCUAUGGCUUAUCUUAGAUAGAUAAUGUGUUAGACGAAUGUGUUCCUCAAUGUACUGUGAAACAUCCAUAUCCCUUUCUAAGAGCUUCCCGUAAUUUUCAAAGUGAAUCACUUGAAAAUUGCAUACUAAAUUGAAUAAAGCACAGCCUGAUAAAUAGAUAGUGAUUGAAUAGGUCCAUGAGACAAUCAAAGCUAUCAGUAUCGCAACAGAUUGCCCCCAAGAAUGGUGUGGCACAUAUAUAAUGCGAACAGCCUCGCGAACAAUCUUCAGGAGGAGGAAUGGUAUCACCCAUACUGCCAACAAGCGGAAGAAACCCUGAAUAUAUAGAGUUUUCAAAUCAAUGGCUUGACAUCUAUGAAUAAAAUAUAUUACAAUCACAACUAUACAAAAAUUUAAUGAUUAUAACAGAGAUAUUCUAACAGAGGAAGAUUUCUUCACUAUUUUCUUACCAGGUUAUGCAGGAAUCAAAACUUCCACUCAAGUGCAUGGCAUUAUACAGAUGAUUAAAGAAAAGGCAGUUUUAAGCUCUGUCCAUUAAAUGGACAACAUGAUAUUCUAUUCCACGAUACUGAUUAAUCUGAAAUUGUAGGAGAAAACAUUCCUCUGUUAAUGGACUCGAGUAUCUUACUCCACAGCACAAUUCUUCAAUAGCCUAUUAUUGAUAGUUUCUUCGAUGGAUUUGUUUUUGAAACAGUAUCUCCAUGCAAUCAAACGAUCCAAAAGGAUAUUAAUAAUAAAUAAAACAAUAAAAAGAGCAGCAGGGAAUGACACAAGUACAAAUAAAAGGACAAACAUUCAACUUUGGUAAACUAAAUUUGACAGCAUGACUCUUUUUAUUGCAUGAUUAUAAUUAAUCUGAGAUUAUAGGAAAAGGGAUCCGCUGUUAAGGGAAUCAUGUAUCUGAUUGUUAAUCUACAACAGAAAAUAUUAUACUUCAAAUUUUUUUUUGCUAACUUCUUAUUUGGAUUCUUUUUAAAGCAUCAUCUCCAAGCAAUGGGCAAGGAACCAACUAAAAAAGAUAUAAAUAAUAGAUAGAUAGAUAAAUUAACAGACAGCACAGUUUGAUUUAUUGAAUGUCAAAACCUGACCCCAUUAAAAUCACUGCAACUUCUCUACUGCCUUUAAUGCUCAGGCCAUGACUAGUAGUUGCACACAUCAAGUAUGAAUCUUAACAAAUCAACCACAACCAAAUCAAUUACCACAAAUUGACAAAAAAAAAUCUUAGCUUUGAUCACUUAAAAAACUACAACAGAUUUAGAAAUUAAAAUAAAAAGGUUUUCCUUACAUUGAUCUUCUUCACAUAUUCAUCACGAAACUGUGCCAGAUGUCCAUGAUAGCGGUCCACAAAAAGAAACUUCCUGAACCCAUACUUCCUCAAGUUAUAUGAAAUACAAGCAAGAGAAAUGGCAGCAACUAGACACUGAAACACCAAAACCUGAAUCUCAAAGGUACGAAUUUGGUACUUCUUACAGUCAGCAGUGCAGUAAGAGAAAUAGUGGAUCAUCACAGCAGGAAGAGCAACACCAAGAAGCAAAAAAGAGAGCCAUGAGAGAGUGAGACUUAUAAAGGAGUGUUGACAAAAGCCAAAGACCCUUAAAAUGGUUUCUAAAUGGUUUAGAGAUUUGGAGAGAUGGGCUUCAUCUUCUUGAUCUUGAUAUAUGAGAGGGACUUGUGUUGUUGAUACCAAGUCAUCUGUUUGCGAGCAAGGAACUGCCAUUUCAGAGAGUGAAAGUGAGGUUUUUCUUGGUGGAUUUUCUGAUUAUAGACAGAGGAAAGUCAGAAACCUUAAAUGCGCUAAACUAAACUAGUGGAUUUUGGUGAGAAAGAGAUGGAGACAGUAUCUGUCCGAGUCUGAAAGGAGGUCGUGUUCAUCUCUAAAAUAUUGUGUCGGACUGUAUUUUAUAUGAUGUAAUCAAUCUUUGGAAAAUCAAGUGUUAGUUUAGUAAUUCAGUGAAACAUACCUUUUAAUAUAUAUUUUUUAUGUAAAAUAUAUUAAAUAUCAACAUAUUAAAAUAUUAUUCAAUUUAAUAUAUUUUACAUACAAAAAUAUUUAAAAAAUCAAAUAAAACCACAAUACAAAACACGUUGUAUUAUUUAUUAUAUUUAUUGUUUGUUAUCGAGAUGAAAAGAACAAAGAUAGAAAAAAUAAAGAGUUUUUUAUUUUAUUUUUCUGCCUGAAAUUAUAGAGAUUUUAUCUAAAAUUAUUUCAGAAACAAGGAUUUCUAUGUUUUUUAUUAUUAUUAUUUUUUAUCUUCAUAAAAAAACAAGUAAAAAGGCAAAAUCUUGCAAACCACUUUCGGUUGCUUUCAGAAGGAGGAAACUUUCAUUUCUUUUUCUUGAUUGAAGAAGGCAUUGUAGAUUCUGAGACCUGCAAAGUAUGACAGACAGACAGAUAUGGCAAACAUUUAAAAGCUAAUUCCAUAUCUUUUCCCUGAGUUUCGUGUAUUGUGACGAAGACUGCUUGAAAAGAAGAAAAGGAAAGGGUUUUUAUUGGGAAGUGGCCCAAAGCUUAAACCAAACGGUCAAGGGAUCUGUACAAACUUCAAAAAAAAAAAAAAAAAAAAAGCUGUGGAAUGCAAAGUUGUUAAACCUGGUAAGCGAUCUUAUUCUGCUCGAGGCUGGAGUAAUGGAUUUUUUUUGUGGUUACUUGAAUUAACUUUAAUUUUAAAAUAAUUAAUGUAUUGCAGUUGAGUCUUGUCGGGUCACCUGAAUUUUUGACUUCUUUUAUUUUUUAUUAAACCCAGUUCGGGGUCAGUCGGAUCCUGAGUUUACCCGCCGGGCCAGGCUAGGUUUUAGAACUACAGUGAAACGUUGUCAUACACGGGCCUGUUUGUUUUUAUGUUUUAAAAGUAUUUUUGAAAAAAAUAUUUUUAUUUUUAAUUUUUUUGUUUCAAAUUAAUUUUUUUUAUGUUUUUAGAUUAUUUUAAUGUGUUUAUGUAUUUAAAAAAAUAAAUAAAUAAUAUUAUUUUAAUAUAUUAAAAAAAAACCUUGUAAAAUAACUGUUUCUACGCAUUUCCAAACAUUUCCACAUUAAACUACGGUUAAAGAGUUUUAUUUAUUUAUUUAUAUAGUUUUUUUUUUAAUUCCUUAAAUUUGAAAGUUCAUACACUAAAGAAUAUUAAAUUGUUUUUAAAUACAUCUGAAAUUUGGUCUGCAUUUGUAGGCCGAAGUUUGCUCUGACAGUUAGGUUUGUGCAUCUUUUUAAGCAAGUCUUUCCUGUCUUCUUCGUUGAAAAGGAAAAGGAAAAGAAAAGGACAGGUCACUCCGACGUCGUCCUGACGCUGCUGAACUCGGUAGUGGGCUUAUUAUUUUGGACAUAGCUACGAUGGAAUGGAAAGCAAAGUUAUUAGUAAACCCGGCCUGUUUCGUGACUUUAUUUGAAGUAAUUGCAACCAAGAUUUAUGAUUAUUCUUCUCUAUUUUUCAUUCCAAUUAUGUAAUAGCUUUUGACUUUUAAUCUGUAAAAAAAAAUUCAUUUCAAUUCAAAUUUCAAAAGUUUAAAAUGCUAGAAAUAAUUUUAUAUUGAUUUUAAUAUUUCAUCGAGUAAAAAAUCUUUUUAAUUUAAAAUUUACGGAUUCAAUAUUAUCUUGUAUUUAAUUUUUAAUUUAAUUAAAGAAAAUAGGGAUGACUAGGUUUGAAUUUCAGUUUAUAUUAAUCUUCUUUUAAACUACUAUUUUGUGCUGAAUUUUUAAUCUAAUUAGACAAAAUAAAGAUGGUUUAAUCAUAAAAAAUGGAUAGUGUAAUUGGAAUUGCUUACUAUAGCUUGAUUUUUUAUUUCAUUAGAGAGAACAAUAAUGAUUUUACUAUAGCUUGAUUUUUAAUUUCAUUAGAGAAAACAAUAAUGGUUUUUAUAGUAAAGAAUAAGAAUGGUGAGAUUUAAAGUUCUAAUAGCUUUGGUGAUUAAAUUGUUUUUUACUCUAAAAAAUAUUUUAUUCACAAAAUGAUGAAUUAACAUUGGUAAGUUGUUUUUGAACAGUUUUGACGUGAUAAACUCGACUUUGAUUUUAAAAUCAUGAACUUGAUCGAUUUUGACCAAAUUGACGUGGAACUCAACUUUGACCGUAAAUGACACAAUUGACCUUGAUAUAUUUUGAUAGACUUCGAUGAACUAAAUUCAACUUUGACUGUAAAAUGAUGGUUUUAACCAAUUUUAAUAGAAAACUCGACUUUUAACAUGAUAGCUCGGUUUUUUCUCUAAAUGUUUUUUUGCUAGAAAAAUAAUUUUUGAUCUAGAAACAUUGUUUUUUAUUUCUUUUUGGUUAUGACAACUUGUAACAAAUUCACAAAAACCUAAAAGAGUCGGUGUUUUUAUUCAACACCGUCUCACAAAAUAUUAUUAAUUGCAAAAAAAUUGCUUUUGUUUUUUUUUUUUAAAGAAUAUUUUUAGUCAAAUUAUAUUUUUACCGGUAAUGUAAAUUACUUUUAGAUCACAUUGGGUUAAAACUCGCAUGGUUUGAUUUUUUUUGUUUUCCUAGAAGUUAGCAGCAUUUGAAUACAUCUUUUUCUAUGUUGAAAAGUUGUUGGAUCCAACCAUAGCAGGCAACGAUAUUGCGAAACUACUAAAUUUACCUGGUUUUGACACAAGUACAAUAGUUAAACAUCAAGAAGAAUUAGGGAUUAGUGAAAAAAAUUAAAAACUAGAAUGCCCCUGGUGAGGUUCGAACUCACGACUUCUUGCUUAAAAGGCAAAUGCACUACCACUGUGCUACAGAAGCUUUUCUAUUAUAGCUCUCUAGCAAACAUUAUUUAUAACUUUUUAAACCCAAGCCAUUGGAAAUCACCACCACCAAUAUACUUCGGUAAACAAGAUCGCCUGGUGGGUGCGUGCAUUGAAUAUCUUAAUUCUUUCUUUUUAUUUCCCCCCUGCUAAUUGAGCACAAGGCAGACACCAAACAGUUAAUGAUGGCAAAAACAAUUACCUUUGUUUUUUAAAAUAUGUUUUUUUUUCUAAUUUCAUUUAUUUAGUUUAUUAGAGAUUAAAUUUCAUGAUUUGUUGUGAUUUGUUUUCUAUGUAGUUGUUCAAGUCAUAUGACUCGUGUCGCAUGUUUAACGGAAUAAUUCGGUUAAUUGGAGUUUCUUUUCUUUUUAAUUGAUAUCUUUUUUUUAAUUUUAUCUUUCAACAUUGAUUUUAUUAGAAAUUAAACUUUAUAAUUUAUUUUGGUUUGUUUUUUAUGAGAUUAUCCUGAUUUCAUGACUCAGGUCAUGAAUUUUACGGGUUAACCCGAGUAGACUUGGAUAGUUUUAUUGUAUUUUUUUUAGAUUGAAUUUUCUUCUUUCAAUUUCAUCAUUCAACAAUGAAUUGAGAUUAGAGUUUCAUAAUUUAUUUUAAUUUGUUUUCUACAAGAUUAUACUAGUCUCAUAGCUUAGGCUGUGUAGGUUUGACGGGUAAACCCAAAUUGAUUUGGGUUGUUUUUUGUGGUUUUUUUUUAAUUGAUUACUUUUUCAGUUUUAUCAUUUAACAUUGAGUUGAUUGAGAAUUAAGUUUCAUAAUUUAUUUUAAUUUACUUUCUAUAAGGUUAUUUCGAUCUCAUAACUCAAGUCAUGGAUUUGAUAAGUUAACCUGGGUUGACUUGAGUUUUUUUUUUCAAUUUAUUUAUUUUAUUCAAAUUUCAUCAUUCAACAUUAAAUUGAUUGAGAACUGAGUUUUAUAAUUUUCUUUAAUUUGUUUUGUAUGAGAUUAUCAUGGUUUCAUGAUCCAAGUUAUGAAUUUGGUAAGUUAACUCAUGUUAACUUUGAUAAAUAUAAUACAUUGUCAUCUUAAUAUUUGAAAAAAAUAUUAUUUUUAAUUUAAUUUUAAUCAAAUUAUAAUUUUACUAGGUGAAUUACCUUUUGACCACGUUAGGUUAAAACUCGCAUGGUUUGAUUUUUUUUUUUUUUACUAGAAGUGAGCAACAUUUAAAUACAUCUUUUUUUAUGUUGAAAAGUUGCUGGAUCCAACCAUAGCAGGCAACGAUAUUUUGAAACUACUAAAUUUACUUGGUUUUGACACAAGUACAAUAGAUAAACAUGAAGAAGAAUUAGGGAUCGGUGAAAAAAAUUAAAAACUAGAAUGCCCCUGGUGAGGUUCGAACUCACGACUUCUUGCUUAAAAGGCAAAUGCACUACCACUGUGCUACAGAAGCUUUUCUAUUAUAUCUCUCUAGCAAACGUUAUUUAUAACUUUCUAAACCCAAGCCAUUGGAAAUCACCACCACCAAUAUACUUCGGUAAACAAGAUCGCCUGGUGGGUGCGUGCAUUGAAUAUCUUAAUUCCUUCUUUUUAUUUUUCCCCUGCUAAUUGAGCACAAGGCAGACACCAAACAGUUAAUGGUGGCAAUGUCACUGCUAUUCAUUACUGGAAUCAGCAGCAUUUGGAACCAUCAAUGCAGCAAAACUUGAGUUACUUUCUCUGAUUGAUAUAUCCCAACUGUUCUGUUGAAAGCUAAAAUCUUGUAAGAUGGAACAAAACACGAUCUUUACAAAGUUUUCCCAUUAAAUUAUGUUAAUGUAUACUUCAAUAUUAGAUUGUUAGAAAUUAUGGAAAUGUAUCAGGAAGACAACUACAGAACAAUCAGGAAUCAGAUUCAAAAAAUUUCCAGGUGUGCACAGAAUCAUAUGCAGAUUUGAAUAAAAUGAAUUUGUAAUUUAAACCACUCCUCCCUCCCUCUCACAACCUCCAAAUAUAUAUAUAUAUAUAUAUAUAUAUAUAUAUAUAUAUAUAUAUAUAUAUAUAUAUUGCAUCAUAUCAAUGAAUUCCUCACCAGAUUUUUAUGCUGAACGAUGCGCGCAGUCCCAGCGAGUUAAAUUUCAGAUAAAUAGCUGAAAUUUCAAAUAAUUUUUAUUCAAUAAACCAUGUUGCCAAUAAAAAAACAAAAUAGAAAAAAAUCAAAAGAAUAAAGAUCAUAUUGUAUAAAUAAAACAAUGAAAAAACGCUUAUGUAAUUUGCUCAAGAGAAGAGAAAGAAAAGGAGGACAGGAGAAAAAAUUCUAUUGCAGCCACACCGUCUAUUCUCCUCCGUCAUGCAUGCUACCAAUAGAAAGCUCUCGAUACCGCCACUAUGAAAAGUGGUGUUUGACAGUGGAAGGAAUCCGCACGUGUUGCUGAAAGAGCAUGGACUCCUCACACACAUUUGUUCUUUUUAAAUAUGUUUUAUAUAUAUUAAAAGACUCAAUCACUCUUUAAUAAUUACAAAAAAACCAAAUAGAAAUGAAGAAAACACUCCUAAACCCAAGUAAAAGAAAAACAAAAUUGCAAGUGUAUUUAAAUAAUCAUAUUGUUCAAAAAAAAUUUAAAAACCAAAAACACCCCUCGCCCUUGUGUUAUGUUUUUAGUUUUUAAAUGGUAGAUUAGUAAUUUAACCGUUCAAUAAAAAUAUGAAGAAACCCGUUUACCCCCAAAGAGAUUGGUAAUGUCAAUUGAAUCCCGUAAAAAAACUAUUUUACAUUUUUACCCCCCAAAACUCAGCCUUUUCCAGUUUUCCUCACAAACAUGUAGGGCAAAAUUGUUAGUACAUUGUUGCGAUGCACUGUAUACUAAGUCUUGCUCCAUGGUGAAAGGUUGAUGGAGUUUAGUUUUCUUUCUUUUUAAUUAAGACUUACUUUUCUAAUCAUAAUAAGUUUUUCUUUAAAAAACAUUACUUAUAAUAUAAAAUAUAUUUAUGUGAAAUACUUGAAUUAUUAGAAGUUUUUAUGAAUAUUUAUUUUAAUUAUUUUUAAUAUUUAUUCAAUAAACUAUGCUGCCAAUAAAAAAAUAAUGUUAAAAAAAAGAGAGUUUUGAUAAAUAAAAAUAUAUUUUUUCUUCAAAAUUUAAAUUAUUGUCUUUUUUUAAUAUUUAUUAUAAUUAUCAUAUAAUUAAAUAAAUAAAUAAAAACUCGGAAAGCGCCCCUCAGCAUCCCGCGAUCGUAACCAGUUCUAACCAAGAUAUCACGUAUCCAAGCAGUAUCCAUGUCUGAAUGGACGAUGUUAUUACCCAAAAUGAAAAACAGUAUACCAUAGGUUCAUGAACAAUGAACAUCAAUAUUAUUAUCAGAUGUCUGAAUUAACAGCAUAGUGUCUGCAAAAAAAUACCCUGGGGGUGGAAUUGUUAUUUUACAAGCAUGGAAAACCUCAUGGGGCCUGAGGUGGGUUCGGACAACAUGAUAUUCAACGAAGAGAUCAGCAGACUCCGCCAGAAAUCUCCUCAGAUCGAGCCUGGAUCUAUGACUAGCUGAUGAUGAUUGAUCCUAGCUUUGGAUAGAUUAUUAGAAUUUUGACCUGUAUUUCCCUGCUAGACAUUUGGCCUUCAUGCAAUUAUUGUUUUCAAUAAAUGGAUCAUAAUUUAGACGAAGCACCAGAGAGAGCAUGAUUGACCAGCUCCCGCCUUAGGAUCUUUCCUGCGGGAGAUUUUGGAAUGGCACUGAUGAAGUCCACUCGUCUUAUCUUCUUGUAUGGUGCAACCUGCAAGAAGAAAUGAUUAGUUUUGAGCAUGACAUGGUACCAUCAUAGGGAAUCAUCCUUAAAUGAGAGAGCGUACGUUUGACUGUAAUUGUUGGCUAUCUGGCUGCUCAUUUUUCGGGAAAAAGUCACUCAAUGGUUAUAAUUUACUUCUAUCAGGUAACCUGACUAGAAGUGGGGAAGUGAUCAGACAACUGAAAAAUAAACUGAGAAGGACAUCCUACGCCCCAGGGAGGAGAAAAUUAAAACAUGCCAUCUCAAGUCAAAUUCAGAAUUCUGCAAGUUGUUCUGUAGCCAACCAAGGAAAUCAACCACUAGAUCUGAAUUCCAGAAGCAGAAUGUCCUCUUCCAAAGGAUCUCUAUAUUUUAAUGGGGAUAUUGUUCUUUCACAUGGCAAAUACAAAAAUAUGUGAUCCCACAAGGCAUAUUAUAAGAGACACCACCUAACCAAUUUGUCAUUUUAUGCAACAACAGGGCAAGAUUUAAUAUGGUAGUGAUCCAUAGAUGCGUGCAAGUAUCUGCAUCUUAAAUUAAGAGGUGCCAAAUCAUCAUGGUUUAUCCAGAAGCUUACCUGUUUUGCAAUGGAAUCCAUGAUUUGAGCCUCAGUAAUAUUGCUUCCAGGUUUCCUCACCACAUAGGCCAUAGGUAUUUCCCCUGCCUCUUCAUCAGGGUACCUGCUCCGAAAUAACAAAAACCAAAUGAUAAGUGGAUCAGGAUCUUCAGUAGGAUCAAACAUAAAUAAAUAAAUAAGUAGAUUCUGAAAGCAAGAAAUUCACUGGAAGAAUCUGAUACUAAAUACAUUUCCAUAAACAUUUACCCUUAACAAUAACUAGAUUCAAUAAAUCUGGUAAGUAAAAUGAUCACCUUAUACAUUUUAACGGUAUCUGUCAAAAGAAAAAAAUUGGAUUUCCCCAAGAAAAAAGCACUAGAAGAGGAAAUUCACAAUUUUGAUGAAUUGAGAUAUCUUAUCUAAUCCAUGCAGCAAGUUAUCAACAAGUACACUCUUUCUGAUUGUCAUCCUCAACAGAAGAAUCUCUCUUGCUUCCUCAAUAAAUAAAAUAAGCUAAGAUAAACUUACAAAACCAGCAAAAAGAAUUUGAAGCAAGAACAAAAGUACUAUAUUGCGAAAAAUAUACACACAUAGGAUCAAAUUUUAAGAAAUAGAAAAAUAGCAUGUGAUCCAUCCUGUUUCAGGAAUGAGCUAAUGAAUCAAAGAGAACUUCAGACUCAUGUCUGUGUGAAAUAGCCAGCUGUUUGGUGUUAGAAAUUGAUGCUGAAAUCGAUGAAACAAAAGCAACACCCUGCAUACACAAGUAUAAAUAUACCAGCAUGACAUUGCGGCAUGAGUAGCAGAUGAAACAGCUAGACAACUUACGGAAUCACAGCAGCAUCAGCAAUUUCAGGAUUAGACUGAAGUAACUUUUCCAACUCAGCAGGGGGCACCUGAAAAUAAUCAAUCAUAUGGUGAGAUAACAACAUUCCAGAUAGUUCAAAUUAGAUUUACAAUCCUAAUGUCCAUUGCAGUCAAGACUAUGCUAAUAUAAUCCAAUCACCUGAAAUGCCUUGUAUUUAAUCAACUCCUUUAGCCUAUCAACAAUGUAAAGGAACCCGUCCGAGUCAAAAUAACAAAGAUCUCCAGUCUUUAACCAACCUUCUGGAUGUAAGGUUUCCGCAGUUGCCUUCUCAUCUCCUACAUAACCUGCACUAACACCAUUGCUCUGCUCGUUAAAGAACAAGCUUAUUAGACAUGGUAAUUUAUUUGUCUGUCUUUCAAUUAACCAGUAUAUUCAGUGAAUACCAUGGUGUAUAUGAACUUCUAUCUGUCCCAGAUUAGCAUCUAAAAAGGGGUAAAAUAUUUUAACUCUAUCCUACACAAUGUCCAAAAAUUCCACAUAAAUGCUUGUGAGGUGAGAUGCAUUUUUCUGUGUCAGGUGGCCUAAAAAAGAGAGUAACAAGGACCGGUUGAAAUGCAUUAAAAUUAACAGCCAAUAUGUCCAUGAUCUCUACCUUUCAUGACAGUUGGCCCUCGCAACCAAAGCUCCCCUCUCUGGCCAGGACCCAAGGACUCUCCAGUUUCAGGAUCAACAAUUUUAGCUUCCAUAUUUUCAGACAGGCGACCGACAGAAGCAUGCUGGCUAGUCUCUUCUGGUCCUAGAGUCCUUGAUGCCCCUCCUCCAGUCUCAGUCAACCCAUAUCCCUAAAAUUCCAAAUACAAUGCACAAUCCUUAUUCAACAACAUUUUCAAAAUGCAAUAAUCUUCAAACACUCACACGAUCAUUUUAUUAAACAACCUAGUCAAAACGCAAUGUCUUUUCUAAAAAACACUACAUUCAACGUCAGAACUGCUCCACUUGGCUUACCAUUCAAACUAGCCUCAAACGGGGUCAAUAGUUGCAUGAAUUGUAAAUGCUGACCAAUACCAUUCAAUUUCAAUGAUUCAAUAAACUAUCAAGCUGUUGAAAAUUGACCAAAUCCACCAUCAACAAUAGAACAUAAACAUUUCUGAUUAGUGUCCCCACUAAAUUUAAUUUACAGAGUUCUAAAAUUAUAUGUUAGUUGGUGCCAUCGAAAAAGUGCUUUCUCGGGCUGAAAAAGCUUUCAUACCAAAAAGCAUUGCAUGAGGUUGCUUUUAAAUAACUAAGCAUUGCAUGAUAACUUUUCUUGUCCAAAUAUAUACUGAUAAUAUUUUUUUAUUUUUUAAAAAUUAUUUUUGAUAUCAAUAUAUAAAACGAUACAAAACAAAUAAAACAUAUUAAUUUUUUUAAAAAAAAAAAUUGAAUUUUUUGGACGGUUUGCUAGUGAUCAGUAUAUUACUUUGCUCAGCACAUGAAAUGAAAGUAGAAAACACACCGAUGACACUAGUGAUCAGGACAAUAACAUAUAGACAGUUAUUAUUAAUUUUAGCAAAUAUAAGGUUUCCCUUUAGCAAUUUAAAUCAAAAUAUAUUGAUUGAAGUCUCAAAAAGGGAUCACCUGUACUAUUUCAACGUGUGGAAAUUUCUCUUUAAACUUAUCAGCAACCUCCUUCCCUAGUGGUGCGCCACCGCAGCCAAGUGAUCUUAGCGAACUCAAAUCAUACUUCUCAGUCAGAUCCGAUUUCACAAACGCCACAAUAAGCGGUGGCGACACCGGCAUGUAAGUAACUCUAUAUUUUUCUACAUGUUUCAACAUUUGUACGAAAUCAAAUCUCUCCAUCAAGACCAAAGUCUCCCCUCUUGAGAACGCAUUUAUUGACAUAAAGAACCCAAAAACAUGAAACAAAGGCAAUAUAAACAGAGAAACUGGAGGUUGCUCAGGUUGAUUCGGUUCGGGUUCUUUCAUGUUGUGAUGAAAACCGGAGAUUAAAGCGAUUAAGUUCCGGUGAGUCAAUGCCACUCCUUUGACUCGCCCUGUUGUGCCUGAGGAGUAAAGAAUAGCCGCAAUGUCAGACUGACUCACUUCAACCCGGGGUUGUUUGGCUUGUGGUUUGGGCUGAGUCAACAAGGAGGUGAACUCGGGGGAGUCAAUGAGGAUGGUGCCAAGAGGGAGGGAAGGAAGCUUGUGGGCAGUUUGGGAGGUGGCAAAGGCGAUCUUGGGUUUACAGAGUUGGAAUUGGUGAGCCAAUUCGGAGUCUGAACUCAGCGGAUUGGCGGGAGAGAUGAUGACACCGAGGUACAUAAGAGAUAAAUAAAGAACGGGGACGUGGAGGGAAGGUGGGCAGAGGAUAAAAGCAACGUCCUUGUUGUUUAAAGAGUAGUGGUUCUUGAGAGAUGAAGAAAGAGAGUGAAUUUGGUCGAUGGCUUGAGAGUAAGUUAUAGACUCGCCUGUGGAGGGGAUGGUGAGGUAGGUGGUGGUAGUGGUGGGGACGGUGGAGGACUGGAGGAGAGAGAGGAUGAAAUGGGUGAUGGAGAGAGGCUGAUGGGGUGGUGGAAAUGGAGUCGGUGGUCUGAGACUGUGAAAGGUUUUGGUUUGUUGGCAGAAACCAGUUCUUGGGUUGAUUGACUCCAUUGCCAUCUUGAUAUGGAAGACAAGCAAAAUGGAAGAGGAAGAAGAGUUUCAAUGCUUGUGUCUCUGUUUCUGUUUCAGUUUCAGUUUGUGUUUGUGUGGUCUUGGCUGAAGGAGGAUGGUGGAAACUGUCAGAGAUAUAUUUGGGAGCAGAUCUGUCGUUUUCUGUUUUGUAUUUGUUUGACUAAUGAGUUGAUUAUUAUUAUUACUUUUCAAAUGAAAGAUUUUUUUAAGUUUGUAAUGAAUAUUUUAGGUAGAAUUUGCUAACGUGACUCAAAUGCUAUUCAAUACAAAUUUAAACUUUUUAUAUAUUUUUAAAUUAUUUUAAUAUAUUAAUAUCAAAAAUAAAUUUUUAAAAAUAAAAAUAUAUAUUAUUUAAAUAAAUUUUCAAAAAAUAAUAUUUUAAGAAAUAAUCACUAUUAUAUUACUAUAUAUAUUUUUAUAUUUUCUUAAUAGCCUUGUAUGGCGGCUGCCUUUCAAGGAAGGGAAGACAUUUCUUUUUUCUACUGAUUUUUUUUUCUUGUCAAUGUCAUAACUGUUGUUCAUGGAGAGUAUAAAGGUUUCUUUUUUUAAUGUGACUGUGAAAAUUAGUUUUCAUAAAAAUAUUUUUUAAUAUUUAAUAAUAUUAUAGAAAAUAAAUUGGAAAAUAUUUUUUAGUAUUUGAUUAUAUCAUAGAAAAUAAAUCAAAAAAUAACUUAUUAUUUUUUUAUAUUUAUUAAAAGAACAUAAAUCAAAUCUGAUAAAUAAAAAAAUUUCAAGACGAAUAAAAUUUUAAAAAAUAAUCCAAUUUUAUAAAUUAUUUUAAAUAAAAUAAAUAGCAUCUAAAAGAAUGAAGAUCAAAUCUGACAGAUAAAAAGUUAAAAGACGAUGAAAUUAAAAAAAAAUCAAUGUCAUAAAUUAUUUUAAGUAAAAUAAAUAAUAAUCAAAAUAAUGGGGAUCAAAUCUGAUAGAUAAAGAAUUUCAAUUAAAAAAAUAAGAGAAAAACAAAUAACAAUCAAAAGAAUUAGGAUCAAGAUUGAUAUAAUAAUCAAAUUAAAUUAAAUUCCAAGAGAAAAUUGAAAACAAAAUAAAAAAUUAAAACUAAAUAUAUAACAAUAAAAAGAUCGAGGAUCAAAUCUGAUAUAAUCAACAAAUAAUAAUAUAUUUUUGAAUUUUUCAUAACUUCUAGAAAAUAUUUUUCUCCAAAAAUAAAAAAAUCUUUCUUGACUAAUUUUUCUUAAGGUAACAAGCUAAAUUUUCUUUGUCUGUAAAAUAUUUUCUAUUGACUAAUUUUUCUUAAGGUAACAAGCACAAAAAUGUUUAGCAAAUAAUUUUCAGGAAACUACUUUUCAUAAAACAGACAGGGUUUUAGAGUGUGUUUGACAACAGAUAUAGAGUAUCUUUGUAAAAAUAUUUUUCAAAUGAAAAAUAUAUUAAAAUGAUAUUCUUUUAAUUUUUAUAUUAGUACUUUAAAACUAUUAAACAAAUCCUAGAAAAAUAUUAUUUUAAUACAUCUUUUAACAAAAAAUACUUUAAAAAAUAUUUUACAAAAUGGAUUGAACAAUAAAAACAAACACACCCUCAUUAUUCCAUUGUUUGGGUUUUAAAUGUUGCUUUCUCUAAAUAGUUUUGCAAUAUUAAUGUUUUUUUCAACAAUCUCUUGAACAUUUUUAUAAUAAGAUCAUAUGGAUUGGUGCUGAGGAUUUUAUCAAGUCUUUUAUUUUGUGUGUUUUUUUUUUAUUUUUAUCAUUUUAUUUUUAUCCCUAAUAGCAUGAGAAUGUUUUCUUUUUAAUCUUGUGUUGAUAAUUUAGUGCUUUUUAUAGUGUUUUUUUUUUAAUAUUUUUUUGGUUUUUGUACUCAGUUUUUCAUAUAUUUUUUAGAUUAGGUUUCUUAAAUUUUUAUUUAUGGUUUCAUACAUUUUUACAUGUUAUAUGUAUUUCAUUAUUUACAAUCAUUGUUGUUAGAUUUGCAUGCAUUUUUUCUUCAAUAAAUAUGCCAUAUUAUUUUUUUAGGUUGAUUGAAUUGAAACUUAUGAUAUUUUAUGUUUUUGUGUGAGUUUACUUUUUGGCAGUUCUAUACUUUUACUAUUUAUUUUGGAUUUGUUUUUUGCUGUGCAUGCAAUAUUUUGACUAUUAUUAUGCAUUUCUUUUUAUUUUGGUUCAUUUAACUUUAAAUUAUUGUCUUAUGUUUUUGUGUGCUCAUACUUUAUAAUAGAUUUAUAUUUGAAAUAUAUAAUUUGGCAAACUUUUCAUUAUAGUCUAUAUCCUCAUUAAUUUUUUGAAAUAUUUGUUUAUCUUUAUUUGGUAAGAUAAUAUUAUGUUGAUAUAUUAUGUUAAAGACAAUCAUUUGCAUAGAUAUUGCUACCUUUUGUUCAUAGUUUUAAAAUCCAGCCUGGCCUGGCGGGUCGAUUCGGGGCUGGAAUCAGGUCGGGUUGAAGAAAAAACAGGGGAAGGAAAAACUCGGUGUAACCCGGCGACCUGGCCAAAAACCCGGUUGCAACCUGUUGACUUUUUUUUUUACUAAAACGACAUCGUUUUGAUUUUAAAAAAAAAUUGACCCGGGCGACCCGAUCAAAACCCGGGUCUUGGACCGGGCCGGGUCUAAAAACUAUGCUUUUAUUAUUCCUUUUUUUUUUCAUAUAAUAGAAUAUGAUAUUGAUAGUUCCCUUUUUUAUGAUAUAAUAUUAUGUUUAUCUUGUCAUUAAAUAUAAAUAUUUUAGUAAACUUUAGAUUAUAUUAUUUAUACCUUUUUAUCAAUAAUUAUAGCUUGAAAAAUAUUUUUUAAGAGUAUUGUAUGUACAUUUAUAUUUAAUUUCUUUAAAUACGUUUUAGGUUUCAAAGCAUUGUAAAAAACAAAAAAAACAAAGCCAAACACACACUAUACAUACAUUGUAUAAAGGAAGAACACAUUUUUUUUGUUUUUGUCUAAUAACUCUAUCAUCGCAAUUAAUUAAAUAAAUCUUUUUUCAUUGAGUCAUCUAUAUUCAUGUAUCGUCAAGUUCUUAGCACACACGUUCACCAAAACAAGAAUAUUAUCAUCAACAAUUCAUAUAUCAUUUGAUAUAAUAAUUUAAACUUAAAAAUUUACUAAGUUUAUUUAAAAAAUUUCAAGGUCAAGCUAACUCUACUAGAACUGUGACAUCAUGUAAAGCAAGUGUCAAGUGAAUAUAAAAACAAAAUAAGAGUAUUGUUAUGAAACUCAAUAUAGUAGUUUAAAUUUGAAAAAAUUUGAUUUGAUUAUUUGCUUAGCCUGAGUUUUAAAUUAAAUCGUAAGAGAGUUACUCUAAUAUUUUUUUUUCCACUAGAUAGGUCCAAGAAAAGAAAUCAAUCCAAUGUUGGAGAAUAAAAUUAAAUAAACACUCUAUAUUAAAUGAUGAAAUGAUAAAAAAACAAUAAAUAAAAAAAGAGGGUCAAAAAAUUCAAAGAAAAUAAAAACCUCAUAAUAAAGGAUGAGAUUGAAAAAAAAACUAAAAGAUAAAAAAAAAGCCAAAAAACUUUUAUUAUAUUAUAAACAGUACAAAAACUUAUUUACCAUCAACCCAAUAUUGAAAUGUAAAAUUAAAUAAAAAAACCUAUAUCAAAGGAUAGAAUUAAAAAAAAAAAAAAUAGGCCAAAUAACCCAAAGAAAAAAAAAACCCCAAAAAUAAAAAAAAAAAAGCCAAAAAAACCCUAAAUAGCCAAUACAAAAUCUCAAAGGCUUGUUACAACAUAGCCUAGGCAUGUGGGCUCGAGGGAGGCCUAUGAGCCAAGUUUUUUUUUUUGAAAGAUAAAUAACAAAAUUAAUAAUACUAUAAUCCAGGGGUUUUGUGGUCUUUUAUCAUAGGUUUUUUUGUUUAAUUUCAACUUAAUCUAGGGAAAUUUUUGUAUUUUAAUAAUUUUUAAAUAUUAGAAAGACAACCUUGCUAGCGAGCGUCAUGCAUGCACCAAAAGGUAGGCAACCCUCGUGCCUUUCAAGAAAGAGUCGUUUGGUUACUAAACAAUACCAUUUGGUCACUAAACAAUAUUACCUUUCACGAUGGUGUUUGAAAUAUCUUGAUGCCUCCUACAUAAUGAAACAUGGUGUGUGCUAAACUCACCUUCGGUUUGGUAGCACUUGCCAGACCCAGAUGGUGCCUAGAUCUGAUAGGCCAAUGGGGUGGACCAUCGUUAGAUGCAACAACUUUUGGGUCUGGCUUUGGCCAGACCCAGCGCGCCUUUAUGGAGGCGUAUUUGGUGUAGGCGCGUGCCAAACUAACGCGCUAAAAAAUACGAGAAACUUAUAUUUAUAUAUUUUUUAAAAAAUAUAUAUAUACAUAAAAAUAUAAUAAUGAUAAAAUCGAUUCAUCAAUCAUCAUGGUCAAUCUUCCCGGAUAUCCCUGGCAUUUGACAAACAUUUUGAGGAAAAUCUCCACCAAGAAAAGGAUGAUCCGUUGGCCCAUGUUCAUAAUAGAACUCUACCUUAUCUAUUAACUUCAACAAACCAACAAUGAUAGUGUCAUUCAUUAUGCACUACUGUGAGAAAUAAGGUCUUACAUCAUGACAAAGCAAAAGAAUCAUUAUAAUACAAAAAAUACACAUCUUUUUUACCAAAUUCAACAUUAAUAUUCAGUAAAUCUGGAUCAGUAUCAUGUUUUUCAUACAUAGCCUCAUCCACAUACUCAACCAACAAACCCAAUUGACCUUUUCACAGUUCCACCCAUGUGGAAUAUAAAUUUCUUCUUCGACAUAUAUAUGCUAGAAAAAACAUAUUUAAAAAUAAGGAACCUAAGACCAGUCACAUGUUUUUGAAGGUCAUAGGACUAUAAUAUCUUGUAAAGUUAAUAAUAACUUUUGCUAUGCAUGUGGAAGCUGUGACCUUUCACAUUCAGGACCAUUGAUUAUUUGAUAAACAAAUGAAAGAAAAUUGACAAUGAAGGGCGAAUUAAAUUAUCACCUUUUCACGAAUAUUCAUUCAUUAUUUCUUUUCUCACGAUUCACAACAUAAUGAAUGAGAGUAAUGGAGCUCACAACUUUAAGCUAACCUUUAUUUCUCAUGUUUCAACUGAUAUUCUCAAAGUUUUUCUCCUAGGGUUAGGUUUGUUCUUCAUGAUCUUGAGUGUGAGAGAUGAGAGAAUGUGAGAAGAUUUUGGGUGCUGUGAGUUAUAUAUGACGGUGUAGAGAGAGUAAUGAGUUAAACGCUUCCACAUCCAAUGGAGCUCUUUAGCUAUAAUUAUAGAGAGCAUGGAUAUAUAUUUUCAUCUGGAGCAUUCUUUCCUCAAAUGCCUCUCUAUGUACUCAAGCUUUGUGAACAGUACUCACAAUACACAUAGCGAAUACUGUCGCACUAUCUGGAAUUCAUCAAAGAUCAUGCAUCGCAAGGAAGUGAAAGGAAAAACAGUUAGCAUUGAAGUCCAGUCCUGGCACAACAUAGCAAGAUGUAACGAGUAUUUAGUUAAUGUCCUGGAGAUGGAGCAAUCUGGAGCAUGUCAUGGCCCAAGGUGCCAUGCAUGCAUGGCAAGGAAUAUCAUGGGAACAAUGAAGUCGAUACGGCAACAGGCCUCGUAUGCUAACCAAAACCAUAUACACAGUAUGGACGACUCUGCAAAUCCAGUCUCCUUGAAAAGCAAAUGACUUACUGAGCUUGCAAUAUCAAUGAAGCUUCUGUUUUAUUAUUUCCAUGCAGAAACUUGAGCCAAUACAAAGUUUGUGAAGGGUUCAUAAAUGUGUGCCCUAUAAUCUGUUGUGUAAUAAAGACUUCAAGCAUUGAAGUUUUUGUGCCCUAAGUGCAAUUUUCAUUAAGCCUUGUCUCAAAGGUAUGGGUUAAAAUGACUAUAGUUUGAUGGUUAGUGAAUAUGUAUUUUACGAACACCAUUUUUAGAUAGAAAUGAAGAACAUAUUUAUCUUAUAGAGACAAGUAUCAAUUAUCAACACUAGUAAGGGUACAGUAUGCCAAAAUAAACAAAUAAAAAAUGUACUAAAAAAAACCUAUGACAACUACAAUGAAAAUAAAAAGAAAUUGUAUUUGAGCAUGCAUUAAGUUCUUUAAUUUAAUGCAUCUUUGAUCAACCAUUCAACUAGUGAUGAAUUAAUUUUUAAAAGCUUUUUACUAAAUAAAAUAGUUAAUUCUCAAUAUAUAUUCCUUUAAAUGUAUACCUUUUUUAAAUUUCUAUUAUAAUAAAAUAAUUAAUUAAGAAAAUGAAUUUUAAAAAUGAUUAAAAGUAAUUUAUUUUUUAAAAAAAUACAUUAAGGACUCUUACUUUAGAGAAGAUAUUUUUUUAGAGAGCUUAAUUUCUAAAAUGACUUUCUAACUAUUUUAGUUAUAUAAAAAAACAGAGAACAUGAAUGUGAAUGAUCGUAAAGGAGAAUUCAUCGAAAUAAUUUUAUUUUUAAAAAUUUAUUUUUAACACAUUACAUCAAAAUAAUUUAAAAACAUUAAAAAAAUAAUUUGAAGCAAAUAAAAAAAUAAAAAAAAUUCAAUUUUUUUAAAAUAUUUUUGAAACACAAAUUAGAUUGUUAAUUCAUUUAUGAAGCCUUAUACAAUCUAAUCAAUGAAGCGAGAAAUUAAAUCAUUUAAAACCUAACUUGGAAUAAAACUUGAGUUACAAGUUAAUGGUUAAUUCAGAUCAAUCCAAAUUAACCCUAAUUUUUUUAAAUGAAUUAAAUGAUAUUGUGUUAACCUAAUUUUCUUUCAUAAAAAACUCAAUGGUUUAAGAGUUGAUUUUUGAUUAGUCAAUCUUGAGCCAACUGAAUCAAUGAAUUAAUCCAAAUUUUUUCUUGGAUUAAUUAGAUAUUUUUUUAAUUUUUAAUUUAAUUUUAGAUCAAUAUAGAUUAAAUCGUAUAACUAGUUAGGAUAUCAGAUUAUGCUUACUUAUGGUAGUGGCAUCGCAAUCCCUAGGAUUCUAUAACUAAAUUCAAAUGAAAGCUGACAACAAAUGAGGCAUGAGAUGUUCAUAGCGAAGAUUUGAUAUUUAAAUAAAUGAAAUGUAAAUCACUUAAAUUCAUCCAUUUUUAUUUAAUUUUUUAUUUAUUGAAAGUGGUCCACCCGCCGUUUCAACCAUUGAUGUUGCUAUAAGACCGACUUUUUAUCAGUGUGUUUAUUUUUUGCGGUGAUAUUAUGCUUUUGAAAAUGUAAAUUAAUUUUUUUGAAAUUUUUUAGAUUAUUUUAAUAUUCUGAUUUUAAAAAUAAAUUUAAAAAAAUAAAGAAAUUAUUUUAAUAUGUUUUUAAAUAUAAAAUAUUUUAAAAGUAAUCACUUUAUCUCACUGUUUUACAUAUUAUUAUGUAAGUAACUGUUACGAAAUCAACAUAGAAAAUUUUUUGCAGCUCCCAAAAGUAAUAAAUUAUGAUUUACAGAGAGCACCGGAGAGAGCAUGAUUGACGAGCUCCCGCCUCAAGAUCUUUCCGGCAGGAGAUCUGGGGAUCGCAUCAGUAAAAGCCACUCGUCUUAUCUUCUUGUAUGGUGCAACCUGUGGAAAUAAAUUAUAGACCUCAAGUGAGUGCAUAUUCCACAUGACUAGACAAAAUUUGUCAUUUUAUGCAACAUGAGGACAAGAAAAAAUUCAUAUGUGAUGUGGUAAUCUUUGAUUUCCUUAUUUUUAUAAAGAUAAAAUCUUAAAUAAAAAGAAUUAGUUGAUAGAAAUUUAAUUUUUAUUUUAUAAGGUAUCAAAUUUUUGUUUAGCAAGAAUUCUUUAACAAUUAUUUAUUUUGUGUAUUUUUCACUAUCAUGUACGAUACAAAAUGAAAAAUAAUUUUAGACUAUUAUUUUAUUUACUUUUAUUAUUUUUAAACUUUAGUUUAAUUAGUUUGUGCUUUAUUUAAAUUGGGUGCGUGUUUGACCAAUUAAUAUUACAGUUUUAUUUUCAAGAGUAGAAAUACUCUUUGUAAGAAUAAAAUAUUAAAACUUGAUAAAAUUAUUGUUGCUGAAUUUAUUUCGCUUGUGUAAGAGAGAUUCUCAUAUUUUUUUAGUUCUCUAACGAACUAAAUUGAUUUAUCGAAAAUUAAUUGGCUCCAUAGCGUUUUCCUUAGACUUCUCAUUUGCAAAUUGGUAUUCGUAGGGUGAAGAUUUUUGCUUCAAUAGUAUUGAUGUAUUGAGAUAUGUUUUAAUUAUAUCACACUCCUACCAGACUUAUCUCAGUUUUUCUGAAUUCAAAAUCAAUCUUGGGUGUGGUGGGUUGCGUGAAUACAUUAUUAUAAGUUUGCAAUAAUCCAUGUAUUGCCUUAAAGUACAUGCUUCUUAAAUUAAAACGGGGCUAAAUUAUUGUUUCUAUCAUUUUAUGCAACGAGAGCAAGAUUUUGUGCGGACUUGAUCCAUAGAUCUGCCUUCUAAGUGCAUGCAUCUUAAUAUGAAAGAGGGAAAAAUAAUGAAACUUAAAGCUAGAAGCUUGCCUGUUUUGCAAUGGAAUCCAUGAUUUGAGCCUCGGUAAUACUGCUUCCUGGUUUCCUCACCACAUAGGCCACGGGGAUUUGCCCUGCCUCUUCAUCAGGAUACCUGCUCCAAGAUACCAAAACCAAUGAAACGAGUGGAUCUGUAUCUUCAAAAACAAUGACACUAAAUACACCUUCCAUCUAUCAUUAGCACUUAAAUUAUCGAGCUACAAAUUUUACUGCUGCUAUCUCCAUAUCAGUCAAGAAAAGAAAACCUGGACUGAUCCACCAUUACACGCAGUUCAAUGGCCAGAAGAAUCUCAGUUUAAUUCAGAAAUUCCAUCAGUCGAAGUGUUUUUGUGUAAUACCACCACUAGCAAACUAUCCAUUAAUGAUUUCAAAAAGUAAAGUCUCUCAUUGUCAUUCCCAACAGAAGAAUCUCUCUUGCUUCCUCAAUAAACGAGCUAAGAAUAUCUUCUCCCCAGUUCACUAAACUGCCGAAAAGCAACACAAGAUCAAGAAUACCAGACAUGCAUGCUGCCUACUUUCUAUAAUACAGGUAUAGUGAAAGGGAAGGGGAGUUUAUACAGUGUCUUUACUGUAGCACCAUACUCAUUUUAUUGUGGACUAGAAGACUAAAAUGACUAUUUUGUUCCUAAAUCAAAUAAAAUUUGGCCCGGCGUAAUAUAUAGACUCCUUUUGCUUUUUAAUAAACAUUAAACAUACUAAAAAACUCUUAGAGACAAAAAAAAAAAAAAAAAAAUAUGGUGCUACAGUAUAUGAGGCUUUUUAAUUUUUUAAUUUUACUUAAAAAAGCAUUUAAGUAAUCUCACUAUUCAUCCAAGAUUGAAAAAUCAAAACCUAACUCAUGAGUUUUGCGGGUUAACUCGGAUAGCCUUAUCAUUUAUUACCUAGAUUACAUGUCUAUCAUACUACUUUAAGUUGAAUCGGGUUUUUUUAAUUUUUUUUUAUCUAAUUUCAUACUUACAUGUCUAUCACACUAUCUUAAAAAAUAAUUAUAUGUUUGCUAUUGUUGUCCAUUCUUUUAACAUGCAUCUAAUUAAAACAAAACCAACUUAUUAAACUUGAUUUCUCUUAUUUCUUUGAAAUGUGCUUCCAACACUUGCACAUCAAUUUUUACAGAGAAAAAAUCCAGAGAGAAAAAAUCCAGACUCACGGUAUAGCGCGGGCCUUGCCUAGUCUUAUACUAUCCUAUAUAUAUAUAUAUAUAUAUAUAUAUAUAAAAUACCGACCUCUAAGCAAUACUAAAAAUAGAACAGUUGGCCUAAAAUUCUCUAACAAGUUUCAUUUUUGAAACAUGUUGGAUCUCACAUGCUACCCCUCUCCCUCUCCCUCUCCCUCUCUUGACAUAUGAUUCUAUGCGCAUCGGUUUCUUGUCUAUGCAUCAAUACAACUUAUAUCUCAAAGAAACGAAAAAAAUGAGCUAUUCAAUCAAAAGAGAGCUCUGGGGAUAUGUUUGUUUGAAAGAGAGAUUAAUUUGUUGUCAGCAACUGCUACAUUGCAGAAACAUAUGACGCGUAAUUAAACAACAUUUCGCAUGCUUAUGUUAUUUUACCAACAUGAAGUUCUCAGCACGAGAAGCAGAAGAGACAACUUACGGAAUUACAGCAGCAUCGGCAAUCUCAGGAUUGGACAGCAGCAAUUGUUCCAACUCAAAAGGGGGCACCUACAAGUUAUCAAAGAUGUGACAAGACAACAAUAUUUCUAACAUUAGAAUGAGAUUUACGAUCCUAACAUUUAUUGAAGUCAAUAUUAUACCGGAAAGGGCAUCGGAUAAUUCGAUCACCUGAUAUGCCUUGUACUUUAUCAAUUCCUUUAGCCUAUCAACAAUGUAGAGGAAGCCCUCGGAGUCAAACAAACAAAGAUCCCCGGUCUUUAACCACCCUUCUGAAUCCAAGGUUUCGGCAGUUGCCUUCUCAUCUCCUACAUAACCUGUACUAAAACCAUCAUUUUUAGCAUCAAGAACAGAAUAUUAGAGAAUUCUACUAGGAAGAAGAUGCAUGCUGAGGUAUUUAUGCGGCCAAACUAAGAUUUUCCACAGUAUAGACUAUUGAUUUCCUAGUCAUGGAACAUUCUUCCCCUUUCAGAUAACCUGCAGCACAUUUCAAUAUUAAUACCCUGAUGCAAAUAUGCAUUGCGAUUUGCCUAGAAGGUAUCUCUGGUCCAUCCCAAACAAUGUCAAAGCAGUUGCAUACAUGGCAGGUGGCUUAAGAAAAGCUGAGAAGGGUUGUAUGAAUGCAUGCCAGGUUCCAAUUAAAAAAUCAAACGACAAAGCAGCAAAGAACCACUAAGGCUAUAUGCAAUGGUACACGAUGCAUAUUCUUAUUAAUUGAGGCAGAUUCAAAGUAUGUCAGCAAAACGCUGACAUAUUGCUCUUUGUAGUGUACGUAAAACCACAGCGAAACGCUGUACUGUUGGUGUGCAGUCCAGUAUACUGCAGCUCUUUCGUUUUCCACACCAAAAGAAUAACACUUCGAAACACAUUAAAGAAGAAAGGUAACAACCAACAAGUCAAUGUUCCCUACCUUUCAUAAUGGAUGGCCCUCGCAACCAAAGCUCCCCUCUCUUGCCAGGACCAAAGGCCUCUCCAGUUAGAGGAUCAACGAUUUUGGCUUCCAUAUUUCCAAACAACCGACCAACAGAAGCAUGCUGGUUACAUUCUUCAGGUCCUAUUAUCCUAGAUACAGCUCCAGCCUCCGUUAAUCCAUACCCCUUAAUCUCAAGUAUAAGACACGAUCAUUAAUUACUCAACAACAUUAAUGUUGCUAUACAUUAACUUUGUGAAAAAUGAAAAUCCUGCAUUCAGUUAAAAGGAAGGAUAAAAAAAGGCUUGCCUGCAUUAUUUCAGCCUGUGGAAAUUUCCUUUCGAAUUUUUCUGCAACCUCUUUACUCAAUGGCGCGCCACCGCAACUAAACCUCCGCAAUGAACUCAAAUCAUACUUGUUAGUCAAAUCCGAUUUCAGUAAUGUCAGGAUAAUGGUUGGCGACACAGGCAUGUCACUCACUCUAUAUCUCUCUACAACCUUCAACACUUGCUCAAAAUCAAACCUCUCCGUCAAAACCAACGUCUUCCCCCACCGAAAUUCAUUUAUCAACAAAAAGAAGCCAAAAACAUGAAACAAAGGCAGCGUAAGCAACGAAACCGCAUGUGGGUCAAGUUCUACAGAGCUCAUUUGAAAAGCCGCGAUUGAAGCUAUUACGUUCCUGUGAGUCAAUGACACGCCUUUGACUCUCCCAGUUGUUCCCGAGGAAUAUAGGAUCGCUGCCAUGUCGGAUUGACUCACUUCAACGUGGUUGGUAGCACUGUCUCGUUUGGAGAUUUGAGUCAACAAGGAGAUGAACUCAGGGGAGUCAAUGAGGAUUGUGCCAAGGGGAAAAGAUGGAAGCUUGUGGGCAGUUUGGGAAGUAGCAAAUGCGAUCUUGGGUUUGCUGAGUUGGAUUUGGUGAGUCAGCUCGGAGUUCGAACUUAGGGGGUUGGCAGGAGAGAUAGUGACACCAAGGUAAAGAAGAGAGAGAUAAAUAAUGGGGACGUGGAGAGAGGGCGGGCAGAGGAUAAAAGAGACAUCGUUCUUGUUUAAAUUGUAGAGACUCUUGAGAGAUGAAGAAAGAGAGUAAAUCUGGUUGAUGGAUUGAGAGUAAGUGAGAGAUUGACCUGUGGAGGGCAUGAUAAGGUAGUUUUUUUGGGUGGUUGGGAUGGCAGAGGAGUGGAGGAGAGAAAGGAUGAAUUGGGUUAUGGAGAGAGGUUGAUGCGGUGGUGGUGGAGUAGCAGGUGGUAUCAGACUUUGAAAGGUUUUACUUUCCAAGCAGUAACCACCUUUUGUAAUAUUGAUUGCAUGGGUGGUCAUGGUGGUUUCUUGUGCCGGCACCGACUUUGUGGCCAUAAUUGGAUGAAGACGGUGGCAACGAGAGGGAAGGAAGGGGAUGAUGAAAGGGGGGAGUGAAUACAGUUAUUGAGAUGAUCAACAAUGGGAGAGCUUUAUUGUGGGUGAUUAACAUAUUUUAACAAUUUAAAUAUUAUAGAAAAAAAUAAUAUAGAUUAUCAGAUUGAAAAACCUACACAACUUUUAAAUUAAAAAACAGAUCUCAAGUAUCGCGAUACCUACUCAUUAUUUAAAAAUUUUCAGAGUCAAGCUAGCUCUAAUCAAACUGUGACAUCAUGUAAAGCAAGUGUUAAAUGAAUAUAAAAACAAAAAAAGAGUAUUGUUAUGAAACUCAAUACAAUAGUUUAAAUUUGACUUGACUUGAUUACUAAGUAUGAGUUUUAAAUUAAAUCAUAUGAAAAUUAUUAUAAUAUUAUUUUUUUCAUUAGGUAGGUCCAAAAAAUAAAAUCAACCCAAUGCUAGAAAAUAAAAUUAAAUAAAUAUUUUAUAUUAAAUGAUGAAAUGAAAAAAAAAACAAUAAAUAAAAAAAGAGGUAAAAAAACUUAAAGAAAAUAAAAACCCCGUAAUAAAGGAUGGGAUUGGAAAGAAAAACCAAAAGAUAAAAAAAAGCCAAAAAACUUUUAUUAUAUUAUAAACAAUACAAAAAUUUAUUUAUCAUCAACCCGAUAUUGAAAUAUAAAAUUAAAUAAAAACCUUAUAUUAAAGGAUAGAAUUGAAAAAUAAAUAGACUAAAUAACCUAAAGAAAAAAAAACCCACAUUAAUGGAUAAAAAAACCCCAAAGAUAAAAAAGGCCAAAAAAACCUAAAUAGCCAAUACAAAAACUCAAAGGCUUGUUACAACAAAGCCUAGGCAUGUGAGCUCGAGGGAGGUCUAAUAGCCUAGUUUUUUUUUUUAUAUAUAAAAAAAUAGAGACAGAUAAGCAAAAUAAUACUAUCAUCUAGGGGUUUUGUGGUCUUUUCAUUAUAGUUUUUUUUUUGUUUAAUUUCAACUUAAUUUAGGGAAAUUUUGUAUUUUAAUAAUUGUUAAAUAUUAAAAAGAAAACCUUGCUAGCAAGCGUCAUGCACGCACCAAAAGGUAGGUGGCCCUCGUGCCUUUCAAGAAAGAGUCGAUCGGUCAUUAAACACCGUUUUUCAUGAUGAUGUUUGAAAUGUCUUGACGCCUCCUAUAUAAUGGGACAUGGUGUGUGCUAAACUCAUUUUCGGUUUGGCAACACUUGCCAGACCCAGAUUAUGUCUGAAUCUGAUAGGCCAAUGAGGUGGACCAGUGCCAGACGCAACAACUUUUGGGUCUGGCUUUGAUCAGACCGAGCGCACCUUCAUAGGGGCGUAUUUGGUGUAGGCACGUGCCAACCUAACGCGCCCGAAAAUAAGAGAAACUUAUACCUAUAUAUUUUUUCUUGAUCCAAUAUUUUAAUACACACACACACAUAAAAAUAUAAUGAUAAAAUAUAUAUACAUCAAUCACUAUGGUCAAUUUUCCCAGAUAUCCCUGGCAUUUGACAAACAUUUUGAGGAAAAUCCCCACCAAGCAAAGGAUGAUCAUUAGUAGACCCAUGUUCAUAAUAGAACUCUACCUUAUCUAUUAACUUCAACAAACCAACAAUGCUAGUGUCAUUAUGCACUAUUGUGAAAAAUAAGGUCUUAUUACAUCAUGACAAAGCAAAAGAAUCAUUAUAAUACAUAAAAUACACAUAUUUUUUACCAAAUUCAACAUUAAUAUUCAGUAAUUAAGGUCCUAAAACACAAUAAAUUUGGAUCAGUAUCAUGUUUCUCAUACACAGCCCCAUCCACAUACUCAACCAAUAGACCCAAUUGACCUUUUCACAGUUCCACCCAUGUGGAAUAUAAAUUUCUUCGACAUAUAUAUGCUAGAAAAAACAUAUUUAAAAAAUAAGGAACCUAAGACCAGUCACAUGUUUUUGAAGGUCCUAGGACUAUAAUAUCUUGUAAAGUUAAUAAUAACCUUUUCUAUUCAUGUGGAAGCUGUGACCUUUCACAUUCGGGACCAUUGGUUAUUUGAUAAACAAAUGUAAGGAAAUUGACAAUGGAUGGCGAAUUAGAUUCUCACCUUUUCACGAAUAUUCAUUCAUUGUUUCUCUUCUCAAGAUUCACAACAUAGUGAAUGAGAGUAAUGGAGCUCACAACUUUAAGCUAACCUUCAUUUCUCAUGUUUCAACUGAUAUUCUCAAAGUUUUUCUCCCAGGGUUAGGUUUUCUUCUUCAUGAUCUUGAGUGUGAGAGAUGAGAGAAUGUGAGAAGAUUAAUUUUGGGUGUGCUGUGAGUUAUAUAUGAUAGUGUAGAGAGAGUAAUGAGUUAAAACGCUUCCACAUCCAAUGGAGCUCUUUAGCUAUAAUUAUAGAGAGCAUGGAUAUAUAUUUUCACCUGGAGCAUUCUUUCCUCAAAUGCCUCUCUACGUACUCAAGCUUUGUGAAUAGUACUCGCUAUACACAUACCGAGUACUGUUGCACUAUCUGGAAUUCAUCAAAGAUCAUACAUCGCAAGGAAGUGAAAGGAAAAACAGUUAGCAUUAAAGUCCAGUCCUGGCACAGCAUAACAAGAUGUAACGAGUCUGUAGUUAAUGUCCUAGAGAUGGAGCAAUCUGGAGCAUGUCAUGGCCCAAGGUGCCAUGCAUGCAUGGCAAGGAAUAUCAUGGGAACAGUGAAGUCGAUACCGCAACAGGCCUCGUAUGCUAACCAAAACCAUAUACACAGUAUGGACGACUCUACAAAUCCAGUGUCUUUGAAAAAGCAGAUGACUUACUGAGCUUGCAAUAUCAAUGAAGCUUCUGUUUUAUUAUUUUCAUGCAGAAACUUGAGCCAAUACAUAGUUUGUGAAGGGUUUAUAAAUGUGUGCCCUAUAAUUUGUUGUGUAAUAAAGACUUCAAGCAUUGAAGUUUUUGUGCCCUAAAUGCAAUUUUCAUUAAGCCUUGUCUCAAAGGUAUGGGUUAAAAUGACUAUAGUUUGAUGGUUAGUGAAUAUGCAUUUUACGAACACCAUUUUUAGAUAGAAACGAAGAAGAAAUGAAGAAAUGAUCAAGAACAUAUUUAUCUUAGAGAGACAUGUAUCAAUUAUCAACACUAGUAUGAGUUCAGUAUGCCAAAAUAAACAAAUAAAAAAUGUACUAAGAAAAAACCAAUGACAACUACAAUGGAAAAAAAUAUAUAUUUGAGCAUGCAUUAAGUUCUUUAAUUUAAUGCAUGUUUGAUCAACCAUUUAACUAGUGAUGAAUUAAUUUUUAAAAGCUUUUUACUAAAUAAAAUAGUUAAUUUUCAAUAUUCCUUUAAAUGAAUACCUUUUUAAUUUCUAUUAUAAUAAAAUAAUUAAUUAAAAAUAUGAAUUUUAAAAAUGAUUAAAAGUAGUUUAUUUUAAAAAAAAUACAUUAAGGACUCUUACUUCACUUAAGAGAAUAUGGAUUUUUUUAGAGAGCUGAAUUUCUAAAAUAAAUUUCUAGCUAUUUUUUUCUUGUUUUUGAUUUCUUUUUUUAAGGACCAGUAAUUAUUUUAUUUAAAUUUAGAUGAAAUCUAAAAAAAAAAAACAACAUAGUGAAUGGAGGGCGAAUUAGAUUAUCACCUUUUCACGAAUAUUCAUUCAUUGUUUCUCUUCUCACGAUUCACAACAUAGUGAAUGAGAGUAAUGGAGCUCACAACUUUAAGCUAACCUUCAUUUCUCGUGUUUCAACUGAUAUUCUCAAAGUUUUUCUCCCAGGGUUAGGUUUUCUUCUUCAUGAUCUUGAGUGUGAGAGAUGAGAGAAUGUGAGAAGAUUUUGGGUGCUGUGAGUUAUAUAUGACGGUGUAGAGAGAGUAAUGAGUUAAACGCUUCCACAUCCAAAGGAGCUCUUUAGCUAUAAUUAUAGAGAGCAUGGAUAUAUAUUUUCACCUGGAGCAUUCUUUCCUCAAAUGCCUCUCUACAUACUCAAGCUUUGUGAACAGUACUCGCAAUACACAUAGUGAAUACUGUCGCACUAUCUGGAAUUCAUCAAAGAUCAUGCAUCGCAAGAAAGUGAAAGGAAAAACAGUUAGCAUUGAAGUCCAGUCCUGGCACAGCAUAGCAAGAUGUAACGUGUCUGUACUUAAUGUCCUGGAGAUGGAGCAAUAUGUAGCAUGUCAUGGCCCAAGGUGCCAUGCAUGCGUGGCAAGGAAUAUCAUGGGAACAGUGAAGUCGAUAUUGCAACAGGCCUCGUAUGCUAACCAAAACCAUAUACACAGUAUGGACGACUCUGCAAAUCCAGUCUUCUUGAAAAGUAGAUGACUUACUGAGCUUGCAAUAUCAAUGAAGCUUCUGUUUUAUUAUUUCCAUGUAGAAACUUGAGCCCAUACAGAGUUUGUGAAGGGUUCAUAAAUGUGUGCCCUAUAUUCUGUUCUGUAAUAAAGACUUCAAGCAUUAAAGUUUUUGUGCCCUAAGUGCAGUUUUCAUUAAGCCCUGUCUCAAAAGUAUGUGUUAAAAUGACUAUAGUUUGAUGGUUAGUGAAUAUGUAUUUUGCGAACACCAUUUUUAGAUAGAAAUGAAGAACAUAUUUAUUUUAUAGAGACAUGUAUCAAUUAUCAACACUAGUAUGAGUUCAGUAUGCCAAAAUAAACAAAUAAAAAAUGUACUAAAAAGAAACCUAUGACAACUACAAUGAAAAAAAAAAUUGUAUUUGAGCAUGCAUUAAGUUCUUUAAUUUAAUGCAUCUUUGAUCCACAUUCAACUAGUGAAGAAUUAAUUUUUAAAUUUUUUUUACUAAAUAAAAUAGUUCAUUUUCAAUAUUCCUUUAAAUGUAUACCUUUUUCAAAUUUCAAUUAUAAUAAAAUUAUUAAUUAAAAAAAUGAAUUUAAAAAAAUGAUUAAAAGUAAUUUAUUUUAAAAAAACACAUUAAGAACUCUUACUUAAGAGAAUAUGAAUUUUUUUAGAGAGCUUAAUUUCUAUUCUAGCUAUUUUAGUUAUAUAUAAAAAAUAGAGAACAUGAAUAUAAAUGAUCGCAAGGAGGUUUUAUACCUAUAAAAAAUAUUUUGUUUUAUUUUUUUUAAUUUCUUUUUUCAAAGACCAGUAAUUAUUUCUUCAAAUUUAGAUGAAAUCUCAAAAAAAAAAAUUUCUCAUAGCAAAAUAAUUCCCACAUCUUAAUUCGGUAAGGUAUGGUAAUUCUAAAAAAAAUAUUAUUAUAAUGAAUUUUUAAAUGAAAAAUAUUUUGAAAAACAACUACUAUCAUAACAUCAAAUAAGUUCUAAAUUGACCAGAAUCACAAUACAAUGCUAGUUUUUAAAUAUCUUUUCAAAAAACAUUUCACUUGAGUAUUUAUCAAAAUAAUAUUUUUUUGAAAAAAAUUAUUUUUAACAUCAACAUAUCAAAAUGAUUUAAAAACAUAAAAAAAUAACUUGAAGUAAAUAAAAAAAUUCAAUAUUUUUCAAAAAUAUUUUUAAAACACAAAAAUAAAAUUAUACUGUUAAUUUAUUUAUGAAGCCUUAAUUUAAUCUAAUCAAUGAAACAAGAAAUUAAAUCCUUUAAAACCUGAUUUGGGGUUGAUGUGGAAUAAAACUCAGGUUAUAGGUUAGAAGAGUUUGAUCCAGUUCAAUCCAAGCCAACUUUAAUUUUUUUUAAAUGAUUUAAAUGAUAUUAUCUCAACCCAAUUUUCUUUGAAAAACAAAAAAAAAAAACCCUCAAUGGCUUAAGGGUCAAGUUUUGAUUCGUCAAUCUUGGAUCAACUGUAUUACACUAUUACUGAGUUAACUCGAGUUUCUCCUUCAAUCAACAAGAUAUUUUUUAUUUAAGUUAAAUCAGUCUUAAGUUGACCGCAGAACUGGUCAGUACUUCCAAUUAUGCUCACCGUCACCGAUGGUAGUGGCGUCCCAAUCCCUAGGUGGCAUAAUGAUGCAUUCUUUGAUCUAUAACUCUCGAAAGCUGACGACAAAUGAGGCAUGAGAUGUUCAUAGCCGAGAUUUGAUAUUUAAAUAAAUGAAAUGUAAAUCACUUAAAUUCAUCCAUUUUUAUUUAAUUUUUUAUUUAUUGAGAGUGGGACCCACCAUUUUCAGCUACACCUUCUCCUAUAAUUUAUAUUUAUAAGAGAAGAAGAAUGUUCUCAUGGAGGAGGGAUGUUUUUUUAAACAAAUAAAUUAUAAUUUACAGAGAGCACCGGAGAGAGCAUGAUUGAUGAGCUCCCGCCUCAAGAUCUUUCCGGCAGGAGAUCUGGGGAUCCCAUCAGUAAAAGCCACUCGUCGUAUCUUCUUGUAUGGUGCAACCUGUGGAAAUAAAUUAGAGGCCUCAAGUGAGUGCAUAUUCCACCUAACUUGAAUAGACAAACCAACUACUCUCAUUUUAUGCAACAUGGGACAAGAUAAAAUUGAUACGUAACAGGGACAUGCAAGCUAGAUCAAACACUUAUAUUAAUAAUAAUAAAAAUAAAAAUCAUAUGUAAUGUGAUUCUCACUUCGCCUUUUUAUUAUUGCGUUUUAAAUAUUUUUACAAGGAAUCCAUUAUUUUUAUAAAGAUUUUAUAUUAAAUAAAAAGAAUUAAUUGAUCAAAAAUUUAAUUUUUAUUUUAUAAGGUAUCAAGUUUUUGUUUAGCAAGAAUUCUUUAAUAGUUAUUUAUUUUGAAUAUUUUUCACAAUCAUGUGCAAUAAAGAGUUAAAAGUAAUUUUAGAUUAUUAUUUUAUUUAUUUUUAUUACUUAUAAAUUUUAUUGUAAUUAGUUUGUGCUUUAUUUAAAUUGGAUGCAUGUUUGACCCACUAGUAUUAAUGUUUUAUUUUCAAGAAUAGAAAUACUCUGUGUAAGAAUAAAAUAUUAAAACUUGAUAAUAUUAUUUUUGCUGAAUUUAUUCAGCUUGUGUGAGAGAGAUUCUCACAUUUUUUAGUUCUCUAAUGAACUAAAUUGAUUUAUCGAAGAUUAAUUGAUUUCAUAGCGUUUUUUUUAACUUCUCGUUUGCAAAUUGAUAUUUGUAGGGUGGAAGUUGUUACUUCAAUAGUAUUGGUGUUUUGAGACAUAUUUUAAUUAUAUCACACUCCUAUUAGACUUAUCUCGUUCCAGGAUUCGUUGCUAUUCUUGUUGUGGGUUGCACGACCACAAGAUUACGAGUUUAUAAUAAUGCAUUUAUUGCCUUAAAAGUACUUGCUUCUUAAAUUAAAACGGGGCUAAAUUAUUGUUUCUAUCAUUUUAUGCAACGAGAGCAAGAUUUUGUGUGGACUUGAUCCAUAGAUCUGCCUUCUAAGUGCAUGCAUCUUAAUAUGAAAGAGGGAAAAAUGAUGAAACUUAAAGCUAGAAGCUUGCCUGUUUUGCAAUGGAAUCCAUGAUUUGAGCCUCAGUAAUAUUGCUUCCUGGUUUCCUCACCACAUAGGCCAUGGGAAUUUGCCCUGCCUCUUCAUCAGGAUACCUGCUCCAAGAUACCAAACCCAAUGAAACGAGUGGAUCUGUAUCUUCAAAAACAAACCAAUUAUGAUGAAACAAACGAAAUUGUGAAGGCAGGCUAUUCACUGCAAUAACAAUGACACUAAAUACACCUUCCAUCUAUCAUUAGCACUUAAAUUAUCGAGCUACAAAUUUUUAUUGCUGGUAUCUCCAUAUCAGUCAAGAAAAGAAAACCUGGACUGAUCCACCAUUACACGCAGUUCAAUGGCCAGAAGAAUCUCAGUUUAAUUCAGAAAUUUCAUCAGUCGAAGUGUUUUUGUGUAAUACCACCACUAGCAAACUAUCCAUUGAUUUCAAAAAGUAAAGUCUCUCAUUGUCAUUCCCAACAGAAGAAUCUCUUUUGCUUCCUCAAUAAACGAGCUAAGAAUAUCUUCUCCCCAGUUCACUAAACUACCAAAAAGCAAAACAAGAUCAAGAAUACCAAACAUGUUGCAUCUCACAUGCUACCUCUCUCUUUCUCUCUCCAUAUGAUUCUUUGCGCAUCGGUUUCUUGUCUAUGCAUCAAUACAACUUAUAUCUCAAAGAAACGAAAAAAAUGAGCUAUGUAUUCAAUCAAAAGAGAGCUUUGGGGAUAUGUUUGUUUGAAAGAGAGAAUAAAUUGUUGUCGGCAACUGCUACAAUGCAGAAACAUAUGACGCGUAAUUAAACAACAUUUCGCAUGCUUAUUAUACCAUCAUGAAGUUCUCAGCACGAGAAGCAGAAGAGACAACUUACGGAAUUACAGCAGCAUCGGCAAUCUCAGGAUUAGACAGCAGCAAUUGUUCCAACUCAACAGGGGGCACCUACAAGUUAUCAAAGAUGUGACAAGACAACAAUAUUUCUAGCAUUAGAAUGAGAUUUACGAUCCUAACAUUUAUUGAAGUCAAUAUUAUACCGGAAAGGGCAUCGGAUAAUUCGAUCACCUGAUAUGCCUUGUACUUUAUCAAUUCCUUCAGCCUAUCAACAAUGUAGAGGAAGCCCUCGGAGUCAAAGAAACAAAGAUCCCCUGUCUUUAACCACCCUUCUGAAUCCAAGGUUUCGGCAGUUGCCUUCUCAUCUCGUACAUAACCUGUACUAAAACCAUCAUUUUUAGCAUCAAGAACAGAAUAUUAGAGAAUUCUACUAGGAAGAAGAUGCAUGCUGAGGUAUUUAUGCGGCCAAACUAAGAUUUUCCACAAUAUAGACUAUUGAUUUCCUAGUCAUGGAACAUUCUUCCCCUUUCAGAUAACCUGCAGCACAUUUCAAUAUUAAUACCCUGAUGCAAAUAUGCAUUGCGAUUUGCCUAGAAGGUAUCUCUGGUCCAUCCCAAACAAUGUCAAAGCAGUUGCAUACAUGGCAGGUGGCUUAAGAAAAACUGAGAAGGGUUGUAUGAAUGCAUGCCAGGUUCCAAUUAAAAAAUCAAACGACAAAGCAGCAAAGAACCAUUAAGGCUAUAUGCAAUGGUACAAGAUGCAUAUUCUUAUUAAUUGAGGCAGAUUCAAAGUAUGUCAGCAAAACGCUGACAUAUUGCUCUUUGUAGUGUAAAACCACAGCGAAACGCUGUACUGUUGGAGUGCAGUCCAGUAUACUGCAGCUCUUUUGUUUUCCACACCAAAAGAAUAACACUUCGAAACACAUUAAAGAAGAAAGUUAACAACCAACAAGUCAAUGUUCACUACCUUUCAUAAUGGAUGGCCCUCGCAACCAAAGCUCCCCUCUCUUGCCAGGACCAAAGGCCUCUCCAGUUAGAGGAUCAACAAUUUUGGCUUCCAUAUUUCCACACAACCGACCAACAGAAGCAUGCCGGUUACAUUCUUCAGGUCCUAUUAUCCUAGAUACAGCUCCAGCCUCCGUUAAUCCAUACCCCUAAAUCUCAAGUAUAAGACACGAUCAUUAAUUACUCAACAACAUUAAUGUUGCUAUACAUUAACUUUGUGAAAAAUGAAAAUCCUGCAUUCAGUUAAAAUUAAGGAAGGAUAAAAAAAGGCUUGCCUGCAUUAUUUCAGCCUGUGGAAAUUUCCUUUUGAAUUUUUCUGCAACCUCCUUGCUCAAUGGCGCGCCACCGCAACUGAACCUCCGCAAUGAACUCAAAUCAUACUUGUUAGUCAAAUCCGAUUUCAGUAAUGUCAGAAUAAUGGUUGGCGACACAGGCAUGUCACUCACUCUAUAUCUCUCUACAACCUUCAACACUUGCUCAAAAUCAAACCUCUCCGUCAAAACCAACGUCUUCCCCCACCGAAAUUCAUUUAUCAACAAAAAGAAGCCAAAAACAUGAAACAAAGGCAGCGUAAGCAACGAAACCGCAUGUGGGUCAAGUUCUGCAGAGCUCUUUUGAAAAGCCGCGAUUGGAGCUAUUACGUUCCUGUGAGUCAAUGACACGCCUUUGACUCUCCCAGUUGUUCCCGAGGAAUAUAGGAUCGCUGCCAUGUCGGAUUGACUCACUUCAACGUGGUUGGUAGCACUGUCUCGUUUGGAGAUUUGAGUCAACAAGGAGAUGAACUCAGGGGAGUCAAUGAGGAUUGUGCCAAGGGGAAAAGAGGGAAGCUUGUGGGCAGUUUGGGAAGUAGCAAAUGCGAUCUUGGGUUUGCUGAGUUGGAUUUGGUGAGUCAGCUCGGAGUUCGAACUUAGGGGGUUGGCAGGAGAGAUGGUGACACCAAGGUAAAGAAGAGAGAGAUAAAUAAUGGGGACGUGGAGAGAGGGCGGGCAGAGGAUAAAAGAGACAUCGUUCUUGUUUAAAUUGUAGAGACUCUUGAGAGAUGAAGAAAGAGAGUAAAUCUGGUUGAUGGCUUCAGAGUAAGUGAGAGAUUGACGUGUGGAAGGCAUGAUAAGGAAGUUUUUUUGGGUGGUUGGGAUGGCAGAGGAGUGGAGGAGAGAAAGGAUGAAUUGGGUUAUGGAGAGAGGUUGAUGCGGUGGUGGUGGAGGAGCAGGUGGUCUAAGACUUUGAAAGGUUUUACUUUCCAAGCAGUAACCACCUUUUGUAAUAUUGAUUGCAUGGGUGGUCAUGGUGGUUUCUUGUGCCGGCACUGACUUUGUGGCCAUAAUUGGAUGAAGACGGUGGCAACGAGAGGGUAGGAAGGGGAUGAUGAAAGGUGGGAGUGAAUACAGUCAUGGAGAUGAUCAACAAUGGGGGAGCAUUAUUGUGGGUGAUUAACAUAUUUUAACAAUUUAAAUAUUAUAGAAAAAAAUAAAUAUAGAUUAUCGAAAAACCUACCCAACUUUUACAUUAAAAAACAAGAUCUCAAGGAUCGCGAUACCUACUCAUAUAUAUAUAUAUAUAUAUAUAUAUAUAUAUAUAUAAAUGCUGGCAACAAUAUGGUGUCCCUUCAGGCUCUUAGAACAUCAUGACGUGCCUAUUUAAUUUAACGCGAAUAAGCAUAAUUAUUAAACCCGGCUUGGGGUUGAUCUGGCCACGGAACCGGAUCUCGGGUUUUAUGAGUCAAUCUGGGUCAACUCAAGUCAACCCGGAUUAAUACGAAAAAAUUAAAAAAAAAUUAAAAUUGUAAUAUUUCAUAUGAAAAAAUCCAUGUAAAUAUAGAUUAUACAUAUUAUGAAGUUUAAAAGAAUAUUUUAAAAAGUUUUUUAUCCCACAUUGAAAAAACAUAACUUUUUUCUUGGAAACAUAGAGUAUAUAUACUAAUAGGUUUCAAAUCCCACAUUGAAAAAACAUAACUUUUUUCAUGAGAAUAUGGAGUAUAUAUAUGAAAGGGUUUCAAAUCCCACAUUGAAAAGAUAUUAUAUUAUCCUUUUAGGUUGAAUUAUUUAAACCAAAAGGUUUUUUAUCCCAUAUCGAAAAAACAUAACUUUUUUAAUGGGAACAUGGAGUAUAUCUAUAUAAGGGUUUCAAAUCUCACAUUGAAAAGAUACUAUGUUAUCCUUUUAAGUUGAAAUAUUUAAACCAAAGGUUUUUUUAUCUCACAUUGAAAAAACAUGACUUUUUUCUUGGGAACAUAGAGUAUAUAUACCAAUGGGUUUCAAAUCCCACAUUUGAAAAAAAAAACCGCGUCUCGUCCGGGUUCACCCGGGUUUGUCCGGGCUAUUACCACAGCCGGUCUUUUACUAAACUCGGACCGGUCCAAUUACCGGAUUGACCCGUCGGGCCGGAUUUAAUAACAGUGCGGAGUAGGUGAAGUGUAGUAACCCGCUAGUAUUUGUUCGAGAGCAUCUCUAAUGCAGAUGAUAAAUGGAAAGCUAAUAAUAAUAAUAAAAUAUUAUUUUAUUUUUUAAUAUUUAUUUUAUAUAAAAGUGCUAAUUUACUAAAAAUUUUUAUAAAAAUAUUAUUUCUACGUAUAUUGUAAAUAUGUUAAAAUAUUGUUAGUUAUUUAUUAGUUUUUUUUUCCUUUUGAUGUUUUUAAAUCAAUGAUUUUUUUUAAUUUUUUAUAAGAUUAUUCUAGUCUUAUAAUUUAUGUCAUAAAUUUAACAAGUUUAUCUAGAUUGAUUCGAGUUAUUUUUUUUUGUGUUUUUUAACUGAUUUUUUUAAUUUUAUCUUUUAAUAUUAAGUUGAUUGAAAAUUAUCUGGGUUGUUUUUAAACUCGUCAAGUUAAUCAGAUCAUAUUGAGUUGUUAAAAUAAUUAUAUAUCAAAUAUAUUAAAAUAGAAUUGCUUUUCAAAAUGAAUUUUUAUUAUUAGAGUGCACAUAUAUAUAUAACAUUACAUGCUUAUUAUUAAAACUAACUUCAUUUUAUUAAUAGAAAAGCUAAAAAAUAUGGAGAAAUUAAUGUUCAUCCACACCCAUUGUAAUCCACAGUAUAUUACCUUUUCUUUUUUUUUUUCACUUUUUUUAAAAAUUUUGUUAUUAUUUUUUAAAAAUUUGUUUUUGUUUUUUUUUUAAUAUUGAUGUAAUUAAAAAUUAAGUUUUGUAAUUUAUUUCUUUUCAAUUUACCUUUUUACAGGGUUAAAAUGGUUUAUCUAUUUGCUAGGGUAACCUAAGUUGUUCCGGUUUACAAGUUUGGUGGGAUUUUUUUCUUUUUAAUUGAACUUGACUUUGUUAUCGUUAAUCCCGUAUAAUUAAAAACAAUAAUUUCAAGAAAAAAAACCAUUAUACAUAAAGUUAAAAUAUGUGGGGAAAGUACUGUAGCUUUCUUUACAUGUUACUGUGGAUUGCUACGGUACUUUCUUCUUCUUCUUUUUUCUUAAAUUAUCUUUGUUAAUUUUACUUUUUUAAUAUUGAGCUGAUUAAAAAAUUAGCUUUGUAAUUUUUUCCUUUAAAAUGUUGUGGAUUGCUAUAGUGUAGGGAAAGUACUAUAACUUUCCUCACAUGUUACUGUGAAUUGCUACAGUACUUUCUUUUUUUUCCCUACAAUACUUUCACCUUCUUCUUCUUUUUUUUGUUUUUGUUUUUUUAUGAUUUUUUUUCUAAAAUUAUCUUUGUCGAUUUUAUUUUUAAUAUUGAGCUGGUUAAGAAUUAUAGUUACAAUAUGUGAGGAAAACACUGUAACUUUCCUUGCAAAUUACUAUAGAUUGCUACAAUGUUUUUUUUCACAUGGUUUUUCUUUUGUUUUUUUAUGUUUUUUUUUCUAAAAUUGUGUUUGUCAAUUUUAUUUUUUAAAUAUUGAGCUGGUUAAGAAUUACAAUUAUAAGUAAAUACAUUUUUUUUCCCGUCAUGAAAUAUUAGCUCCAUUAUAUUUUUAAUUUUUAUUAUUUAUUUAGUAUUGAUUUAUAAUUAUAACACUAUCAUAUAUUUGUUUUAUAAAACCGUGAUACUACACGGAGAUCGACUAAAAUAUGUAGACAUAUUCCUAGAGAAAUAGAGUGCUUCAAUUAAAUAUAGUAAAUAAUAGCUGGUUAGUUGAUUUCCCUCACCUAAAAAGGUCUGUUUAACUCACCUCUGUUAUAAUUUUCAUUGUUGGUAGUGUGAAUGCUAUCUCUUCUGUGGUUUCAAUCUUAGAUCAGUUUUACUUGUUAUCUGAUCUUAUAUUUAAUCCUUCAAAAUGCGAACUUUUUUGUUCUGGUGUAAGAAUGGAAGAUGCAGCACAAAUUCAGAAUAAUUAUGGGUUUCUCCUGUAUCUCCUGCGUUGCGUCUCCAUGGGAGCCCUUCAUACAAGUUUGCGGAAAACUGCCUGUCAAGUACCUAGAGGUCCUCUAAUAACAGGAAAGCUCACAAUACAUGAUUGCAUGCCUUCAUUGGAUAAAAUCUCUAGUAGAAUUCAGCAUUGGGCAACAAAACUCUUAUUCUUUGCAGGAAGACAACAACUAGUAUCAUCAGUGAUCUUUAGUCUUCAAAAUUACUGGUGUACCAUUUUUAUUCUUCCAUCUCAAGUUAUAAAAUCUAUUGAGAGUAAAUGCAAUAGCUUUCUCUGGAAAGGAAAAGAUACAUCUGUUGUAGGUGCAAAAGUUGCUUGAGAAUUAGUUACAUUGCCAAAACAGGGAGGGGGCCUUGGAAUUAAAAAGUUGAAAGAGUGGAGUUGUGCUUGUGCAAUGAGAAAUCUAUGGUGUCUCCCUCUAAAAUCUGGUUCAUUAUGGGUUGCUUAGUGUUGGGAAUAUUUAAUUAAGAAUAGGAGUUUAUGGAGCUUAAAUGCCCCUAAUGACUGCACCUGGAACUGGAGGAAGAUGCUGAAGCUUAGACAUAUGAUGUGGGACUCUGUUGAUUACUCUAUUGGCUAUUGGAAGCUCACCUUUCUAUGGUGGGAUAAAUGGCAUCCUCAAGGUGCUCUGAUUAAGAGAUAUGAGCAGGAAAUUACUGUUGGAACUGGACUCCCUUUAAAAUGUGAUUAAAGGUCAAGAUGUUGAGGAUUGCAUUACAUGCAGAGAAGCUGUUGAUGGGGGAUUUUCAUGUCGAAGUGCCUGAAUCUGGUGAGAAAGAAGAGAAAUAAUGUAGCCUGGCAUAAGCUCCUUUGGGGACCAUUGCAUGUUCCCAGAUGUAGCUUUAUUGCUUGGCUCUGUUUCUUGAACAGGUUAUUUCCCCAAAUCAAGACAGCUGAAACGGGGAAGAAAUAUAGACACAACUUGCUCUCUAUUUCAACAAGCUCUAGAAGAUAGGGAUCACUUAUUCUUCUCUUGUAGUUUCACCAAGAAAAUAUGGCAGUGUAUUUUAAAGAAAAGUGGAAUUUGCAGGCUGGCGAUCGGCAGGAAGAGUUGGAUUGUGCCAUUUCUUUUCUACAGAAGAAAUGCAUUCUUUCUGUCCUGCUAAGAAUUCUCCGGUUUUGAUGGGACUGUUGCCAGUGUCAUUGUGCAUAGAAUUUCCAGCUUUGAUAAGCUUAGACUUUACAAAACAAAAAUCUACAGGAAGCUAUCGUAAAUCUCAAAUAUGAUGGCUCUAUGCAAGAGCUGGAACUUUCAGUAGCUUGCUUUUGAUCGUAUUGAGGUGUUUGUAUAUCCUUCAGUAAUUUGUUUUUUUUUGUUGUAUUGUGGAGUUUGUAUAUCGUACAAACCUUGUAAGCAAUCUGCUUUGGUUGGUUAUAAUUAAUGAAAAUUCAUUCAUUAAAAAAAAAUUCCACUUAUCCAUUCUUUGAUUAAGUUUUUCAACAUAUAGCUACAAUUUUAAUUAGUUUUUUUCGGAACUAGACAUGAUGGGGCUCGUGUAACUAGUAAUAUUAUAUUUUAAAUAUAUAUUUUUUUAUGUAUGAAUUAAAAAUUUAAUUAUAAAUAUGAUUUAUAAAAUUUUAUGUUAUUGUAGUUUAUUCUACUAUUUUAAAACUCGAUUUGAGCCUACCUGAUGAGUUGAGUCAUGGCUUAAGCGACUCGGGAAUUAGGCCGGACAACAAAAUUAGAAGGAAAAUUAAUAUUGUUUGACUUAGUUAAAAUUUCAGAUUGACCCACAAGUUAUAAUUUGUUAGUUUUUUUUUAAAUGAUAUCAUUUUAAUGUUUUUAUAAAAUAAAAAAAAUUAAGUUGACUUAAAUUAAAUUAAACCAACCUACCUAACUUGUGAAUUGAUAUUUAUUCCUGCUAAACCUUGAAUCUGGUUUAAAAACUAUAGUUUAUUUAUGAAAGUUUAUUAAUUUUAUGUUAUAAUUUUUUAGAAUGUGAAUAUUUGUGAUUUUUAAUGAUAAAUGUUUUACAAGGAAGUAGGAACAACCUUAGUAUUCUAGAUUGGAGGCGGUACACACAAAAGUCAUCCCGUUCGGAUUCAUCGCCAUACGAUGACAACAAAUCAACAUGAAAAUUAAGGGACUGAUUUGAACGUUAAGGAAAGUAAAGGGGUACUAAAACCAAAAUAUUCAGACAAAACAAGAACUAGGGGUUUAGGGUUUUGUAUCCUCUGUAUCUCCCUCUCUCCCUGUCUCUGUUUUUAUUGACAAGUGAAACUGAAUAUUGCAAAACAAUGCCGCGAACUACGACACUAGAGUGCCCAGGUUGCCCUCCACUUCGAGCUCUAACUUUUGAUUCUCUGGGUCUUAUCAAAGGUAAAUACAUUACCAAUUCUCUUUAACAACCCAAUGAAGCAAAUCGCUGUUUGCGUUUCUUAUUGUUUUGAUAUUUGGUUUUGAUUGUAGUGAUUGAGUCUCGUGGUGAAAGAGGAACACCUCAGGUUGUAGAGAGAUGGGGUGAUCCUGUUUCCUCCAAAUGCGUGCUUGCUGCUUCCUUUGAUGACCGUAAAAAAGACCCUGUAUGUGUUGCUCUUCCUUUCUUUCUUUCUCUAUUACUUUUUUGAGCUGAAACUUGUAAAUCUAUGCCAUUUUCUAUGUUUUGAUUUCUGGGUUUUUCUUUUCUUUUUCUUUUUUUGCGGAGUUAAUGUGUCAUAGACUCAUAGCCAUGCUUGUAGUACAUGUGUGGUGGACAUACUGAUGUUGCAUGCAUUUAUUAAACGUGGUAUAAAAACUGCCUUACUAGGGUGUAAUUUUGUUUCUUGCAGUUAUUGGCUGUUGCAAGAAGAAAUAGAGAGGUAAGUUAAUUGUAUUACAUUCUGAAUGUUGACGAUGGAGUGCAGUUUAGUUUUUGGUUCUUGAUGGUAGUUCUGGUGUCACUUGAGCGUUGCUUAGUUAUGCUAUAGUUAAUGUAAUACAGGUUGAAGUAGUCAACCCGCUUAAUGGGGAGAUUCAUGUCGUGUUUUCUAAUGUUGGUGAGGAUGGUGUUCAACCUGAAGAUGAUGCUAUUUCUGGUUUGCAUUUAUUCAGGAGAGAGAGGUCAUCUGGGUAAGCUCUACCGUUUCUUUUUUCAGAGUAAUAAUUUGAAGUUUAUGGUUAUUUCUACUUAUGACUACCAGCAGUUACUGAGCUUCGUUGUGUUGGUUAUGUGCAGGUCAUGUACUUUGCUUACAUGUACAUCAAAAGGAAAUGCAAGCGUGAGGUCUAUUGGGGUUGAUAAAUUGACUGCUGAUAGUGCCAGUAUUAGUGUAACAAAGACAUGGAAAGUUUGUGGUUCUGGUAAUGUCUUAUGUUCUAAAGUGGAUGGAAGUGAAAACUAUGCGGUGUUUGGAGGGUGAGUACACCCAUCUGUGCGACCAUACCAUAUAGGAUUUAGACUUGGAAACUUAUGUUCAUUAGUGGCAUGAUGGCUUUUUUGUUUUCCAAAGCAGGAAAGGUGUUGAAGUUAAUCUAUGGGACCUUGAGAAUUCUACUAAAAUUUGGACUGCCAAACCCGUGAGCCAUAUUAGUAUAUUACUAGUUAACUAUUCUAAAUCAAGAUGAAAAAAUAUUUUUCUAUUUACAAGUAAUUUUUUACUUGGCCUUAGGUCAAUUUCAUUGUUUUUGCUUUGUGCAGCCUCCUAAAAAUAGCCUUGGGAUAUUUACCCCGACUUGGUUUACAUGCACGACAUUCCUGAGUAAUGAUGAUCACCAUAAAUUUGUGGCUGGCACCAAUAGUCAUCAGGUAAUCCUUCCAUAGAAAAUACUCUCAUGGGAAAAUUUAUUGCAGCAUGGAAGAGUUUGUAGUUAAGUAUUUUAUCUAGAUAUCCACAAUGCACACCUAGUAGCUGCUCCAGGAAAAUGCUUGCUUCUAAAAUAGUCAAUACCCAUCCUUUCUUUCGUUUGCAACUUUGCAUGCUUAUGUGGAACCAAUGUUGGUUGUUGGCUGUGAUUACUGCAAAAACUGGUGAUAUAGUUAGAAAUGGAGUGGUUUAGAGAUAACUUUCCAUGAAUUGAUAGUUUCUGUUUUUCCAGAAUCAUAUGAUGUGGAAUUGCAGUCACACGUAAUCACAGGCAUUUGCUAACAGCUGAAGAGGUUUCCAGAUGGCCUUAAAUUUAUAUAACUUGAUAAUUGCUGUUUACCUAACAGGUCCAUUUGUAUGAUAUUUCUGCUCAGCGCAGACCUGUUCUAUCAUUUGAUUUCAGAGAGACUGCUAUUAAGGCCGUUACUGAAGAUCAAGAUGGCCAUACUAUAUAUAUAGGAAAUGGAUCCGGUGACCUUGCUUCAUUCGACAUGCGAACUGGUACAUGCAUCUAUUUUGACUAGAAUAUGCAAUAAAUACUUUACACUCUAAUUCCUGUUUAAUUUUGUUCUGCAUUCUGCAUGUGAUUGUAAUAUAAAAAAUUCACUUGAGUAGGUAUUAACUCUUUUAAGAUUAUCCUAUAGUUUCUUGUGAAUGGACCAAAUUUCUGUUCAGAUGAAAUAUGUACUUUGUUUACUGGUGGCAAUGAUUUUUUGGUGUAGUCCAGUUUUUGAAUUUGUAAGUCAAGGAUCUAAAUAGGAGGUUGGCAUUUCAAUAAGGGCUGUGAUUCAAAUAAUUUGAUCUGACUUAGCAACAAAGUGAGUAAGGCCUUUGCAAUGGACUGUGUUUGCCUGACCUUAAGCUUUGCAAUGUGUCUGUGUUGGAGUCAGUGGCCUGAAGUAGGUUUAGAGAGAUAAAUUUACAAUUAUCUUUUAGUGUGAUAAAUUUACAAUUAUUUUUUUGCCUUGUCCCAUCCUUUUUAAUUCUAUGAAACACAUAUGGAUCAAAUGGUCAGAGGAUAAGUAUAUAAGUUAAGAUUUAGAAUCUGACUUGCCCUUUCCAGCGUUGUGGAAAUUAUUUUUGAACUGAGCAGUGUGGAAAUUAUGGUAUUUAAUGGAGUUAUUUUUUAGUGAUAUGUUAGCUGGGAAUAUUUUCUUUAUUGAACUCAUACAUAACUUGGCAUUUCCUCAUGAAAUGUGGAAAUCUGACUCCAGACACUAUGUAGUUCAUACAAACUGGCAUUAUUUAAUUCAAGUUUCUGCUGCAUAUAGCAAGAGAAUUUUCUGUUAGGUUAAUAUUUAAGCUUCUUAUGUGUUGGUUCCAUCUGUUUGUUUGGAGGGUUUUACAGCUGUCUUUACCAUGUUUGCUAGCAUAAAAAUCACACAUAAGGAGGAUACAUAAUCAUGCUUAGAUCUAUAGUUGAUGAUUUUGUACAGAUAUUUUAUUUAGUUUCAAAAAUGAGGAACUUCUGAAUGAAUACCAUAAUAUGGUUCUUUUAUAUAAUUAUUCUUAAUAUAAUCUGAAAAGUAUCAGUGGAAUUCCAUCUUAGACCAGUUUGCUCAGCACCUUCAAAUGGCUUCCCAAUGUAUCAUAAUCAAAUCAAGCAGUCUUGAACCAUUUUAUGAGUUAUAUAUCACACUAUUUUUGGCUAUUGACUAGUUAGGAACCGGACUAACCCAGGAGCAUGCAGGUCCUCCAUCCUGUAUACAGCAGUCAAAUGAUUAGGCUGUUUCAAUUUAUUAUUUUAGUAUGGUCACUUGUCUUCUUAUGGCUGAAAUCCACUAAUCAGAUCAUCUUAUUCUCUGUUUUGAUACAUCUGUAUACAAUGUUAACUAUUUAGUAGUUGUGAAUUGGGCUAAAUUUUGUUGCUUGGCAAUCCAAUAUCAGUGCCUACCUGCUGCUCCUGUCCUUGAUUAUUUUUUCUUCUGAAUGUUCUCUUCUUCCCUAUGAUUCUUUUAACAUUGGAUCUAUUUUUUUCUUCCAGGAAAGCUGUUAGGAUGUUUUAUAGGGAAGUGUUCUGGAAGUAUUAGAUCCAUUGCCAGGCACCCAGAGCUCCCUGUGAUAGCAUCAUGCGGUGAGUAUAUAGAACAAUUUUGCUUUAUCUUUGUCAGACAUAUAUUUGACUUGGUUCUCUGUGCCAUUAAAUUAGCAGCUUCCUAGUUCUGGGGCCAAAAUGUUUUCUUGACUUAUUGCUUUCUUUUUCUUAGGUUUGGAUAGCUAUUUGCGGCUGUGGGAUAUAAAGACUCGUCAACUUCUUUCAGCGGUAUUUUCCUGGACUUCAUUUCUGUGAAGAUAUCGAGUCUAAUAUACUUUACACCUCUUUAUUUAUUUAUUUCCUUUUUUCAACUUGGAAUGACAUUAUAUUAGACUUAAUGCUGGUUUUUUCAAUUCCUUCUUAUCUCAGUGUUGUUCCUAAUGUUGGAACUACAGAAGUUGGAAAUAUUCCAAUGACACUGAGGAUAAGAGUGUUGCUUACGGCUUAAUUUGUUAUAAGUACUUGAUUUAUUACUGAUUAAUAUUGCUGUAGUUAUGCAAUAUUAUCUUUUUCAAUACCUCACUGGGAAUCAGGGUACAUUUUUUCAACCUAAUAACUUACAAUACAUGAAUGCUCUAAUUGGAGUUGACUUGUCAGUUUUUCAUGUCUCUUUAACAUUUUAUCAACUGACAUGAUGUCAUCACAACUACUGUUAGUUGAUUGAAUGUUCUAUAAAGUGAGUUUCAUUAGAUGAAAGUUGAAACUCCCAUGUAUACAGUGCUGAAAUAAUGGUUUGGGGUAUUUGGUUCAAAAAUCAAUCCUGCCAGUGUAAGAUUGCGUGUGGUGCUGUCAUAAGUUUUGAUGUCUGGGUGGAGGUUUAUUUUUGAAUGAGCAUGUGGGAAUUAUGAUAAUAUUUAUUUUUGAUAUUCCAGUCAUUUAAUCAAACUAUAAUUAUGUGGUGCAGGUUUUCUUGAAGCAGCACCUUACAAAUGUUGUUUUUGAUUCAAACUUUGUUGACAAAGGUUGGUUUUCCCUUUCUUUGCACAGCUUCGGGUAGUAUUUUUUUUAUGCCACCCCAUAGUACUUGAAUAUCAAGACCCUCGGUAAACUUGAGUGUUUGGACAAAAACUUGUCUGGAUGGUAACUGUGAUAAGGGAUAAAUUAUUGGCCCAAAAUAACUAAAUGUGUUGAUGGCAUUCAUUUUCUUCCAGCAGUUUUAGGUUUUCACGUAUGGUGCUAGUCGAAAUUCUUUAUGAAUCCGAUGGAUGAGUGCGAUGCAUAAAAAAAAAAACAAGAGAGCCUAUGUUGCUUGUUCAGUGGCUUCAAUUUAAUGAUUUCUAAUAAUUGAUGUUGCUCUGCAAAAGAAUGAAGGUAAUAAUUGUCAAGGCUUUCUUGGGAAUGCCAUUAAGAUGAGCUUCUUGAUACUCGAGAGAGUCUCUAGGAAUAUGAUAGGCUUUUUCACGAUGGUCAUUUGGGACCCUUGGUGCUAAGAGAUCACAGUUCUCCCUUGGAGACGAUGGAUGGAUACUUGAAACGAGUAUGCCGUUUAAACUAGAUUGAUCCCAACAUCAGGCUAGAGCUUUGUCUUUCUAAUAGUGCUAUGAUAUGUUUUUCUUUAUUGCCAAAUGCUAACAUCAGGUAAGAGCUUUGUCUGCAUCAAUGAUUUUUCUUGUGUAGAUUUUCUACUGAUUAUCGCCGUCCCUAUUGUGCUUGCAGAAGUUGCAGCAACAGCACAGAAUGCCAAUGAGAUCCAAACUACCGAGGUCCAAACUGAAGAUGAGAUGGGAACAUUGCGUGUAAAAAGAAAGAAGGCAUCUAAAGAAAAAAGGGAGAAAAAGAAGAAAUCUGAAGAAAGUAAAGAAACCAUCGUGUUAAAAUCCAAGAAAAAGAGCCGGAAGCACAAAAGUGAGAUUUGUGAUGACUCCUGAGAUUAGCAUAAAGAGCUGGGAUUUUAUGUUUAGGGAAUGUUUGAGAUUGCAGUUGUGCUGUUUUUUUUAUUUGUUUUAGCUUGAAAUUAAUUAAAAAAAAUUGAAUCUUUUUAAUGUAUUGAUGUGAAAAAUAUAAAUGCUUUUCUUUAUAAAAAAAUAAAUUAAUAUACUUUUAAAUAAAAUAAAAUGAUUGUGAUUCACAUUCUCAACAUGACACUUGAAAAAGACUGGCAGCAGCAUAUAGCAGGCUGCAUGGCAUCUCUCGAGUGAAAUGGCGAAACAAAACCCUUGUAAUCUUUGCUCAAGGCUUUUAUAGUAUGAAUUCUCACUCAUUAUUCUUUAUGUAGAGGAGUCGUUAUGAUUAAUUAAUUUCGUUUUUUUUUCCAAACCAUUGCAGUUUGUUUGAUCUUUUCUCAAAAAAAAAACAAAAAACAAAAAAAAACCAUUCACAAGUAAUUUGAGGGUAAUUGAAAAUAUAAUUUCAGUUAUUUUUCAAAAAAAAAAAAUCUAAAUAAUAUUUUUUAUUUUUUAAAAAUUAUUUUUAACAUUAUCAACACAUUAAAAUAAUCUAAAAAUAUUAAAAAAAUAUUAAUUCGAAGUAAAAAAAUUAUAUAAUAAAAAUUAAUUUUUUAAAAUUUUUUUUUUAAAAAAUAAAACCCACUGCUAAAGGGUAAUAUCUUGAGCAAAGUGCUUCAUCGGCAGGAAUCGAUCAUGGCUGGUUCCGGGAUAAGAGUUACACUAUUUCCAUAGUGAAUAAACGACGAAACAAAAACAGGCAAGGGGUAGAACCCAAUAGGUUCAAGAAUAUAUUGCUCCACCGGAGAUAUCACCGGUUUAAAAUCUUUCAAAAUGUUCAAUUGCUGGAACUACAUAGAUCCAGUGUGAGAUAACCUUGCUAAUUAACGGUUUAGCACUUGUAAAUGAUUUAUGACCGUGAUUUUAUUAUCCCUCCCAACCAGUGCAUCAUAGACAACAGGACAAAUCUGCACCACGGCUUGUGGGGUAAAAACCAAUGAAGAGAAACAAGAUGCUGCAUUAUUAUACGUGUUGAGCUCAGAUGAAAUUUGAUCCAACGGAUUGUAAAUAAGAAAUUCCAUGAUUUUUCUGCAGAAAUCACAAUAAAAACAACUGGAAACGGGGCAGUAAAAGCACUUGCAUCAAGUUACUGAGAUUUAGCCUCCUCCUUUUUCUCCGGUGACAAGUACCUAAGAAAAGGAAUAAAGAAACUUGACUAAGCAGAUCAACGAACAACUGGCAGCAGAAUAUUCAAAGUCCUAUUGCAUCAUCUGAUGUUAAUUUAAGAAAAUCUUNNNN